rnacentral:lncRNA from 1 species
AUAUGUAUCUUGCGGGGUAUGCUAAGACAAAAAGGAUUAAAAAUUAAACUAAAAUAUAAUAAUAAAAAUACCACAUAAGAUUUUCAUAUCGAAACUAUUUAUUCAAAUAUAUUGGAAUCUUUAUUUUGUAUUGAAAUUGAUAUACAACACUGGCUCACGGUAAUUGAACAACAUGAGCGGAGACUGGAUUUGGGGGAAUAUGGCAGCCGCAGCCGUCUUUGCAUUUGAAAUAGGUUUCAAAGCAAGGCUCACCCCCUAAGUCGGCACAACAAUAGCACAAAUUAUUUUGGCAGGGUGGAUCACUUCGAAGGCAUGUGCAUGAUUGCCACUUCUUGCCAACAAUCUGGUCGGUAUGUUGAGCUGCAUAUAAAAAUUUAGGAGCUUAUUUAAACUUGUUCUCUUGUUUUUGACAUGAAAUUAAUUUUAAAGAACCAAAGUUUUUGUUCAUAGUGCACUUACAUUGCGUAAGAAUGGUGAUACAUCCAAAGAUAAUCAUAGCAAAGACCACCAUCCUUCUCCCCGCCAUCAUAAACUUCGACAUACAACACGAGUAUAUCUCUGUCUCUCUUUCUCUAUUUGGUGAUUAUUUUUGUCAGUCUUACUACAUUAUGCUUGNNNNNNNNNNNNNNNNNNNNNNNNNNNNNNNNNNNNNNNNNNNNNNNNNNNNNNNNNNNNNNNNNNNNNNNNNNNNNNNNNNNNNNNNNNNNNNNNNNNNNNNNNNNNNNNNNNNNNNNNNNNNNNNNNNNNNNNNNNNNNNNNNNNNNNNNNNNNNNNNNNNNNNNNNNNNNNNNNNNNNNNNNNNNNNNNNNNNNNNNNNNNNNNNNNNNNNNNNNNNNNNNNNNNNNNNNNNNNNNNNNNNNNNNNNNNNNNNNNNNNNNNNNNNNNNNNNNNNNNNNNNNNNNNNNNNNNNNNNNNNNNNNNNNNNNNNNNNNNNNNNNNNNNNNNNNNNNNNNNNNNNNNNNNNNNNNNNNNNNNNNNNNNNNNNNNNNNNNNNNNNNNNNNNNNNNNNNNNNNNNNNNNNNNNNNNNNNNNNNNNNNNNNNNNNNNNNNNNNUCCCAUCAAAUGAUCUAUACUUAGUAAGAAGUAAUUAGCCAAUCCGAUUGGUUCUAAUCUAUUCCCCACUACUAGACAUUAAAUGUUCUAUAUUUAGCACACAUUAAUUACGUAUUAAUCACUUUUCACAAAAUGAAGGAAUUUACCACUUUUGGAAAUUUCUUUUUUGGGGCGCAAAUGCGCAAUCGUAAAGACGCCCAUAUCUUCACAAAAUCAGUAAUGCUUAGAGCAUUCACUUCCUGCAUCCUUUAUAAAAUCUUCAUUUUAAGUCGAUAUAUAUGUUUGUCUUUCUCACUAUAACAAGAAUCUCUCUCUAAUUGAUGCCCCUUAUUAGAGAUUCCUUAGUCUAAUUGUUAUCUAUAAUAUAGACCCACAAAAAAAUUGGUAUCUAUAAUAUAGAAGUCAUUAGAGAUUUCCUGGAUUAAUCUCAUAAGGGCAUCUCUAACGCACCCCCUAAACUUGAAUCCCCCGUUCUAUUCCUAUUUUGUAAGGAUUAAAAUUUUCUUCAUCAGCAGACCCCGCAAUACUUGAUCCCAUUUUUCAUUUUGCAUGCUCAUUCGAAAGUUUGCUCAAAUACCACUACUUAAAAAGAAUGUAAAAUUUCUUGUUUCACUUUUUUUUCUCACCACCCUUUGUCCCAUGAAAUAUGGAAGCGUUCCUACUCCCCAAACAAGGGGAGCCACAUGGGUUAUAUAUUGAUUCUGACAAGAGACGUCUCAUGGCGUUACGUAGCAAGGUCGUUGGAACAACCAUAUGAGAAACAAUUGGGAUAGGGAAAAGGGACAGAAAGAUAAACAUGAAACCAACUCUACCUUUAACUACCCAACUUGUUAUACAAGAUAUCUAGGCGCAUACAAGGUAACGUGACAAUAUAACGUGACAAUUUGUUAUAGUAAACAGAACUAGGUUGAGAUUAUGACAAAAUUCUUCAAAGCUUCUAGUGAGUAGCGCCUUUGUAAAUCCUUCUGCAAGCUGAUCCAUGGGAGGAAUGAAUCUGAUCUCCAGCUCUUUGUUUGCAACUAUUUUCCUGACAAAGUGAAAGUCUAUCUCAAUGUGUUUAGUCCUGGCAUGAAAAAAUGAUAGCAGACAAGUCAGUUGCACCAAGGUUAUCACACCAACAAAGAGGAGUCUGAGUUUGUGGCACUCCAAGCUCAUUUACUAUAGCCUGAACCCAAAUGAUUUCAGUUGUAGCAUUUGCUAAUGCUUUGUAUUCUGCUCCAGUGCUGCACCUGAAAACAGUAGCUUGUUUCUUUGCACACCAUCAAAUUAAAUUGGGUUCAUGAAAAAUGGCAAAUCCCCCCGUGGACCUUCGAUCAUCCACACAACCAGCCCAAUCCGCAUCAGAGAAGGCACAAACUUGACUAGAGGAGGAUCUGUUUAUCGUCAGACCCAUGCUUACUGUAUUCUUUACAUACCUCAGGAUACAUUUUGUUGCUGUCCAGUGAGCUGUGGUAGUUGCAUGGAGAAAUUAACAACUUUAUUUACCAUAAAGGAAAUGUCAGGCUGAGUAAGAGUUAAAUACUAAAGUGCGCCAACAAUACUUUUGUAACUGGUACUAUCUUCCUGAUUCAAGAGUUCUCUUUCUGUCAAGGAGAGAGGCUCUGAACUUGACAAAGGAGUUGGUGAAGGUUCGCAAUCCUGCAUGCCAGCUCUACUCAAUUAAUUAGUAAUUUAUUUGCCUUGUGAUAGGUGGAUUCCAUGUUUAGUUUUCUAUACUUCAGUACCUAAGAAGUAGUGCAAGUCUCCCAAGUCUUUUAGAGCAAAAUCUGACCUGAGAUCAAUUAACAUGGUUGUUACUGCUUACUGGAUGAGCUAGUCACAAUGAUGUCAUGAACAUAGACCAGAACAAAAAUGGCGGUGUGAAACUUAUUGUAAAUAAAUAGUGAAGUGUCAUACUUUGAUGGAACAAAACCAAGUGCUUGCAGUUUCAUACUCAACCGAGAGUACCAUGCUCUAGGGGCUUUCUUUAGACCAUACGAGACCUUGUCAAGCUUGCAGACAUGGAAUGGUGCGUUUUUAUCCUCGAACCCAGGAGGUUGUUUCAUGUACACCUCUUCUUCCUAAACACCAUGAAGAAACGCACACUGGUACCGUUACGUGCUAUACAAACGGUUUUUACCCUUGUUCAGCGAUGAAUUUUUAAACCGUCGCCUUGUCUAUCUGUGCGAUAGGGGGGUCCUUUUCAUACGACCUAGAAACCAUCGGGGAUAGGCGAGCGGCUACUAGCAAUUUCCAUAGGAUAAACGCAUAAGAAGUUCCGGCCUAUCCCACACGUUAGUCCUCGACGCUACACUUCUGAUUCGAGAGAUAUCCAAAAUGAUUACGCUGUUAUAGUCGUGUGGAAAAGGUGGAUAUCACAAACAUUUAAUCUGUCUAUGUGUUUGCAAUAGGUACGUUAUCACACACAGUUAAAAAAUGUAAAAUAUGUGCGCUGCCAACAUGUCCAUUUCAUACCUGUGUGCGAUAGGUAUUCCUAUCACACACGGACUCCAUAUAUGCAACAUCUUUUUUUGUCCAAUAUUACACACCCAUACAGGUUUGAAACGUUUGCCGUAUUACCAUGAAUCACACACGCAUAUGAGACAAAACCGUGUGCGUGUCCAUUGAGCAUCUUGGAUGGUUCGCGUCAAAGAACCGUUUGUUCUAUAUUUUCCAUCGCACACAUUAUUUUCUUUCUAACCGCGUGGACAUGAUUUUAUUCGCUCUUGUUUAAUUUUAUUUUCCUUGUAAUUUAUUAUACAAAUUGGAAAUUUUGAAUUAUGUAAUGUGGAAUUCAAAUUCUCACCACAAUGGUUCAACAAAUAACCCAUAAAUAAAAUUCUCAAUACAAUAUGUCCAGUUAUUACUGAAUUAGGCAACAAUUAACUGUGAUGGACCACAAUAUUUAGAGGCAGUAAAGGUGAAGAGAGAAGUGUAAAUCAUUUUGGUUGUCGAUGGUGUUGAAGAAGCAGAAUGCCCAUAAUGUGCCCUCCUACAUGCCAAAUGUGCGAACAACUUUUAUCCAAUCCUUUGUGACCAUCGCUCGCGCAUCCUUCACCGUCUUCAGGAAGACUUCUAGACCAUUAUCGUGGUAGUAUUAAUUAUAUACUCUAACCUUAGUUGCCUCCACUCCGGUCAUGCAGUUUGCAAGGUAAUCAUCAAUAAAUUUAUUCGGAAACCAAUGGAAAGAUAAAACUUCCAUGUCUAAUAGAAUAACUCGUUGUGUGUAGGGGAAAAAGGCAACACAUUACUUACCAUCCUAAAGUUCACUAUUCUCUUAGACAAAGUGUAAAUAUAGGGUUUAAUUCCCAUCACCCGUCUGUUUCGCCUAACAAUCUUUCUUAGUUUCCUUAUUUGAUGCUUGUUCAUGAGUAUCUCAUUGCCCCAUACCUAAAAGGGUGCCCCAUACGCAAAAGGGGUCAAAGCGUGGAUCAAUACCAUUGAUAUAUAUACCUACAGGCAACCAGUAAAUGCUAGAAGCGAAACUGCAAUUGCACAAAUGAUGUAAAAUACUACUCCCUCCGUUCCUACGUAUCAGUAUUUUUAGAGAUUUCAAUAUGAACUACAUAUGGAUGUAUAUAGACAUAAUAUAGAUUAGAAUGUAGAUUCACUCUGCUCCAUAUGUAGUCUAUAUUGGAAUCUCUAAAAAGACUUAUAUUUAGGAACAGAGGGAGUAUAAUACAUGGGAUGCAGCUAACCUCAUGGCAAACAACAGCAUCGGCCAUUGUAGCCCUGUGUAAGUACAUGGAAAGGCAAUGUUAACUACAACAUGAUUAGCAUCCACCAAAAAUAACAAAUGGUAAUAAAAAGAUAGCAUAUGUAGUGAUAUCUUCAUUGCGGAAGAGUAGAACAGUAGCAAAGGGACGGAUUAAAAAAUGGAUAGAAAUGUUUACUACAAUAGGCUUAAUGGCAACCUAAGUCAAGCAUUGUAAGUUUGUAGCUGGUAUUGGUGAAAUUGAGCUGGAUAAUUCAUACUUGAAAAUCACACAGUGUGCGGUACUGAACUAAACAAGGCAAGUUUAACCAUCGACAACCUAGUAUAGCCAUUGAAACUAGUACUAAAAAAAUGGAAGUGACAGAGUUAAACAUCGCAAGGCGGGUGUUACUAGAGCAGAGAAUGACCUAGUUGUCUAUAAAAAGGUAGGGAAUAUAGCUAAGACGGGUUAGGCGUGUUUACUACAACAUGCUUAAUACAUCAGCCGUACAAACAUAGCCAUUGAAACUGGUAUUGGUAAGAUUGAACUAGUUAGUUCAUACUGGGUAAGUCCUGAGGGAUAGUUGCUAGGGCACUUCAUAUGGCACUACUAGGAAAAGGCCUACUAGUGGCGCACCAGUUUUGCCUACUAAUGGCGCACUACUAGUGCGCCACUAGUACCACCCCACUAGUAUUUUUACUAAUGGUGCACCACUGGUGCGCCAUUAGUAUACCAGAUACUAAUGGUGCACCGCGCCUGUAGUGCGCCAUUAGUAUGCCUAGAGGUGCGCCAUUACUAUCUCACUUAGUAAUGGCGCACCACAUAGAAGUGUGCCAUUAGUAACAACUUUUUUUCAAUUUUUUUUCAAUUUUUUUUCUGUUUUUUCUUAAUCUCAGGUCAUAUGGCUUACUCUCAGGUCAAUAUGCUUAAUCUCAGGUCAAAUCACACUCCGUGGUCAAACUUCCCGAAAGGUCACCCAUCCUCACACUACUCCAGCUCAAGCACACUGAACUUCAGAGUUCUAUCCAACCCCAGCACCAGCUCACUUCAGAGGCACUUGUUGAUUUAUCUGGCAUAUCAAUCCUAUUAAACCUUGUUGAUGUUUAGGACUUUGUUCAUGUUCGUGAGUGUGAUGUAAUUUUGAAAAAUUAUUUCAAACUUCCGUUCAUAUUACGUAUCAUAUUUUGAAAAAAAUCCCGAAAAAAAAUUCGAAACUAUUUUUUUCUAUUACUAGUGGCGCACCUAGCAAACGGUGCGCCACUAGUAAGUUUGAAUUUUUUUGAAUUUUUUUGCCUCCAGAUCUUAAAAGCCCAGUACCNNNNNNNNNNNNNNNNNNNNNNNNNNNNNNNNNNNNNNNNNNNNNNNNNNNNNNNNNNNNNNNNNNNNNNNNNNNNNNNNNNNNNNNNNNNNNNNNNNNNNNNNNNNNNNNNNNNNNNNNNNNNNNNNNNNNNNNNNNNNNNNNNNNNNNNNNNNNNNNNNNNNNNNNNNNNNNNNNNNNNNNNNNNNNNNNNNNNNNNNNNNNNNNNNNNNNNNNNNNNNNNNNNNNNNNNNNNNNNNNNNNNNNNNNNNNNNNNNNNNNNNNNNNNNNNNNNNNNNNNNNNNNNNNNNNNNNNNNNNNNNNNNNNNNNNNNNNNNNNNNNNNNNNNNNNNNNNNNNNNNNNNNNNNNNNNNNNNNNNNNNNNNNNNNNNNNNNNNNNNNNNNNNNNNNNNNNNNNNNNNNNNNNNNNNNNNNNNNNNNNNNNNNNNNNNNNNNNNNNNNNNNNNNNNNNNNNNNNNNNNNNNNNNNNNNNNNNNNNNNNNNNNNNNNNNNNNNNNNNNNNNNNNNNNNNNNNNNNNNNNNNNNNNNNNNNNNNNNNNNNNNNNNNNNNNNNNNNNNNNNNNNNNNNNNNNNNNNNNNNNNNNNNNNNNUACUAAAUUUGAAAAAAAAAAUAAAAAAAGUUUGAAAAAAAUUGAAAAAAUUUACUAGUGGCGCACUGUGGAUGUGGUGCGCCAUUACUAGUUUAACUAGUAAUGGCGCACUAUCCCCUGGUGCGCCAUUACUAGUUUUGAAAAACAAAAUUGUUAUUAAUGGCGCACCGUGGAUGUGGUGCGCCAUUAGUAUUUGGACACUAAUGGUGCACCAACACAUGGUGCGCCAUUAGUAUAUACUAAUGGCGCACCACAUGUCUGAUGCGCCAUUGGUAUCCAUAUCAUCUAUAGCCCUUUUCCUAGUAGUGUGGGCCAGAGCCCACCUCAAGUCGGCGGAGGCGGAGGUGAGGUGUUCCUACGGGUCGAAGUGUGGAUCAGUGCCACUGUCAUGUGUACCUACAAGAAGCAAGUAAAUGUUAGAAGCUAAACUGCAAUUGCACAAAUGAUGUAAAAAGCCCUAAAACAUGGGAUGUAGCUAACCCCGACGGCAAACAAUAGCAUUGCCCAUUAUGGCCCUGCGUAAGUACAUGGAAAGGCAUGUUAACUACAAUGGGGUUAGCAUCCAUCAAAAGUAGCAAAUAGAAAUUAAACGACAACAUCUCUAGUGAUAUCUUCAUUGCAGAGAGUAGCACGGUAGCAAAGAGACGAAUUUAAAAAUGGAUAGAACUGUUAAUUAUAACAGGCUUAACAGCAUCCAGAGUCACCUACUGUAAGUUUAUAGUUGGUAUUGGUGACAUUGAGCUAGACAGUUCAUACUUGAACAUCACACAGUGUGUAGUACAGAAAUAAACAACGCACGUUUAACUACAUGCAUCCUAGUAUAGCCAUUGAAACUGGUACUGAUAAAAAUGCAAUUGAUAGAGUUAAACAUCGCAAGGCAAGUGUUGCGACAGUAGAGAAUGCCCAGUUGUUUAUAAAAAGAUAGGGAAAAUAGUUAAGAUAGGUUAGUCUGUUUACUACAACAUGUUUAAUACAUCACCCAUACAAAACAUAGCCAUUGCAACUGGUAUUGGUAUGAUGAACUGGUCAGUUCAUACUUGGUAAGUCCUGAGGGGUAGUUGCUAGGGUACUUCAUCUGGGCCAGAGCCCGCCCCAAGUCAGCGGCGGCAGAGACAUGGUGUAUCUCCGGGGUGAAGCAUGGAUCAGUGUCGCUGACAUGUGUGCCUACAAGAAGCAAGUAAAUGUUACAAGCUAAACUGCAAUUGCACAAAUGAUGUAAAAGUUGUAAGACACGGGAUGCAGCUAACCUCGACGGCAAACAACAACAUUAUCUGUUAUGGCCCUACGCAAGUACAUGAAAAGGCUUUUUAAAUACAAUAGGGUUAGCAUCCACCAAAUAUAGCAAAUGGAAAUAAAGCAAUAUCAUCUCUAGUGAUAUAUUUAUUGCGGAGAGUAGCAGGGUAGCAAUGGGAUAGAUUAAAAAAUGGAUACAACUGUUAAUUACAAUAGGCUUAAUAGCAUCCUGAGUCAUGUAUUCUAAGUUUGUAGCUGGUAUUGGUGAAAUUGAGCUGGACAGUUCAUACUUGAAUAUCACACCAUGUGCAGUAAUGAAAUAAACAAGGCACGUUUUACUACAGACAACCUACUAUAGCCAUUGAAACUGGUGCUGAUAAAAAUGCAAUUGACAGAGUUAAACAUCCCAAGGCAGGUGCUGCUAGAGUAGAGAAUUAUAGCACCGAUCUGUGAAAAUUGUUUGUCCAACACUUAGUAAUUCUUGACUCAUAGAUCUGAAAAUUGAUAGCUGUGUUGGCGGCUUAACUGAUAAACCAUAACCCGCCAGGUACCAUUAGUCCCCUCUUAAGCUGCCAAUAGAUUGCUUUGCAUAACUUCAACACUAUCCUCCGACUUAACACACCGCAUGUUUACAGUCCUUACCUUUGAAUCAAUGACCGGCUUAACAACAUAAUCUUGAACUAGCAAAAUUUUCUUUUCAGACCAUCAUCAACAAUGACUAAGACUUUCACUUCAUGAAACUGGGUAGCAUCCCGGGUCAUCGAGGAAGAUUUGAACAAUUUUUUGAAAAUGGCGUCUUAGCCAAGAAAGACAACAUCCACUGGAGGGUCCCAGGCAUCGAAAAUCCUCCUUAGCCCAAAGAAGGAGAAGUAAUCGUUUUUACUGAUCAUAUGAUCCGGGGGUUUACCCCGCCUGGUUCAAAAUUCUUUUGAGACGUGCUACAAUUCUUCCAACUUCAUCCUCAAGACAUUGGGCCCAAUUAUGUCGCCAACAUUUGCAACAUCCAAGUCUUUUGCGAAGCUUAUCUUCAAGAGGAGCCCACUAUUGAACUGUUCAGGGAAUUUUAUUAUUAAAGCGGCAUACAGAAUUCACUAACGGGCCAAGCUUGGAGCUAGGCGGAGUUUCAAUUCAAAAACGGAAAGAGGCCACCUUCCCAUAUGCCAAGCCACCCAAUCAUCCAAAGGAAUGGAAUCAGACUUGGUUCUAUUGCCAAGAUACAUCUCCAGAAGGUGAAAAUCCCCUGUCAGGUUACCAUGAACACCGGCUCAGCAACACACACCGACUCCCAGAGCGAAUCAACGCCAAGGAACGGGCCAAGUAUGCACCCGUUUUUUCAAAGAUUAGAGCCUUCAUGGCUAACGGCUUAACCGACAUCGACCUUGUUCGGUGCUAGGUUGCCUGGAGAAUUCUGCCCUUAAGCCGCCGCGCCGGCUUAAUGUGCGAGUACACCAGUGCUUUGAAAGAUCCACUACGCCUCUUCGAAAUCCAAUUAUCUGACGCGGAAAUCAAUGAUGCAACCAAGGCUUUAUUGACUGAAAGCCUGGAUGAGUGCAGCAAAACUGGACUUAGCCCUUUCUGCAUCUUCAACCAGCCGCCAGCUGUAAGUUUUGCACAUAAUUUUUCAGUUGAAUCAUAUUUUCAUUAACACUAUCCUCUUAUAAUCAUAUGACUUCCACAUGCUGAUUCUCCUUUUUGUUAGAAGAAGCUGCAAGACAAGCCAGCCAAGAAGACUUGGACCAAGACCAAGGCUAACAAAAAGCCUACCAAGAAGAAGACCGACCCCUCCGAGUUACUUGAGUUGGAUGAUGAUGGUGUUGAUGAUGAGUCGGAGGUAGAACUUAUUCUCUUCGCUCAUUUUUUGUGCAUCUCAUUGACAAUGACUAUUAUCAGGAUGAAGCAGAAGCCAGCCGUGCGGGUGACGAAGAGGUAAUUGUUCUUUCCUCCGCUCAGAAUCUCUGCCAAAUCAGAAAACUCAACAAGCAAGCUGGAAAGUAAGGUUUUCUCAUCAUUUGGCUUAUUUGGAUCCCAACUUUAUGUACCAUCCCAAUUUUCAAUUAGGAUGUUAUACAUAGAUCAUCAUAUGCAUAUCAUUUUUAUUCUUGCAUUUGGUUGAGAUCCUAGAAAUCUUAAGCAACUCAAGGACCCAAGGAGAGAGUUGGAGGUUUCACAAAAAAAGUCAAAUUUGAAUCUUUCAAAUUUGAAGAAAGGAUCAAUUUGAUUUUAUUAUUUUUCUCUCCAAUUAUUUCCAAUAUUAAAAAUAAAUGAGAGAAAAUAAUAUGACUUCUUCAAAUUAAGAGAAAUAUUGGAGAAAGAAUUUUACAACCAAAUUAUGAUUUUAUUUGAAUUAGAAAAAUAUGCAUUUUUAAAACUGCAUUCUUAGGCCAGAAAAAUGUUCACUUUGUUCUAAAUAUUUUAUUUAGACGGAGAAAACUGUUUUUGGCAUUUCUUAGAAUUUUUUAUAUUUUAUUAGAAAUUUUUCUUUGGGCAAAAUUACUUUUUAAAAAAAAAUCCACCCGACUGCGCCGGAGGCCGGGCCGCAACCCGCAGCGCGCCGUCUCCCUCGCUAACUCAGGACGGGAGUUCCGAGGUUCGCCGCCGCCGUCGCCGUGUCCGUCUCGGACACGAGCCGUCGCCGUCUCCUUCCACAAGGCAAGCCCCCCCCCCCCGCCCCCUUUAUAUAUCGNNNNNNNNNNNNNNNNNNNNNNNNNNNNNNNNNNNNNNNNNNNNNNNNNNNNNNNNNNNNNNNNNNNNNNNNNNNNNNNNNNNNNNNNNNNNNNNNNNNNNNNNNNNNNNNNNNNNNNNNNNNNNNNNNNNNNNNNNNNNNNNNNNNNNNNNNNNNNNNNNNNNNNNNNNNNNNNNNNNNNNNNNNNNNNNNNNNNNNNNNNNNNNNNNNNNNNNNNNNNNNNNNNNNNNNNNNNNNNNNNNNNNNNNNNNNNNNNNNNNNNNNNNNNNNNNNNNNNNNNNNNNNNNNNNNNNNNNNNNNNNNNNNNNNNNNNNNNNNNNNNNNNNNNNNCGUCGCCGCCGCCGUCCCACGACGCUGGACCCGCCGCCCCGCACCAACGUCGCUGCUCGUGCUGGAUCCCGCGGAGCCACCACAUGCCGCCGUUGACCCUCCGCCCAUUGACCGGUAUAAAACGCUCCGGUUCGCCGAGGUUUUUUUUGGUUUUACGUUCGGAUUUUUUUGAUCGGUUCGUUUGGUUUAUUUAUUUUACGGAUGUUCGUCCGAUCGUUCGUUUUAACGAACGCUUUUUGCCAGAUUAGUUCAGACAGCGAAUGUUUGUUCGAUAGUCCUUUUCUUUUUAGUUUAUUUUUGGCCAGGGACUUAUCCGUGAUUAUUUUUAUUGCAAUUUAGCCCCUGAUCUUUAGACUAGCAUAACUUUUUGCUUGUUUAUCCAAAUUAGAUGGAACUAGCGCCAAAAUCUUUGUAUUGUUCUGGUCUUUCCAGUUAACCAACUUGAGCAUGAUUUUGCUACUGUAAAACUUGACUUUAGUCCAGAUUAGUAAACGAUCUUGUUUCGUUCGUAUUUUGAGUUUCCUUGCUCCGUUUGAGGUGAAUAUUUUUGUGAAUCGUAGCUAGUCACUUGUACCUACUGUUAAGAUCUAAUUCACAUGUUUGUAAUGCUGUUAGGUUUUGACUCUUGUUAGUUUAAGCCAUUUGCUUGUUUCGUGUUCAAUUUGGAUCUUUUCUCGGUUUUUCUCGUGUUUUGUUUGAGUGAUUGUUUAUGUAUACUAUUGUUUGUCUAUGCUAGUUUACCCGGAGUGCAAAGCUUGUUACUAUGAAUCUCUAGAGUUUGCUGAUCGUCAGCAAGGCAAGUUAUAGUUUUAUCAUACUCUUUUUUACCAAAUUUUUACUAUGCAUUAGUAUUGCCUCUCAAAUAUUUUCAUGAGAAGGAUUGGGAACAUGUGGUUUUGGUUGUAGUUCUUAAGGUAGGAACCUAAUACCUUUUGAUCACCCCGGGAAUACACGUUAUGCUUAUUAUUGCUUAGCCAUACUCGUAGACGGGGAUUGGAUCUUUAUUCACACAUGGAAGUUUGAGAGUUAUUUUAAUCAAGGAUAACAUUAAGGUGACAACUUUAAUAUACAUCUGGGUGGAUUGGUUGAGGCACUUGGGGAACCCAGUGUUGCCUGUUUUUGGAAAUCCCGGAGUACCCGUGUGACUAUCCUAUGGAAUGCCACCAAGGAUCAAAGGGAUCCUAAGAUUAUUCAUGCUAGAAACUUCUGUGUGCAGCCACAAGCCAUUAUGGGCUCUGGCAUAGUUGAGUAAGUUGCGUGAGCUCUUGACGAGGUAGACUAGCAGAUGGAGCGAGUUGUAGGUGGUACUGUCUACCCGGAGUAGGGAGUUAAUGCUUCAGAAAGGCUAUGUCUCGAUCAUCCAAGCAUGGAUGCGGUCGAGUCUUGUGGGGAAAAGUGGGCAAACCUUUGCAGAGUGUAUAAACUAAUCAUGGCUAGCCGUGUCCCUGGUUAUGGACUUCUUGAGUAUCUAGUACUUGAAUCUAUUGAUGUUAUCUCAUCAAGAUACUUUAAUUAAUUGAAUUGGGUUAAUGAUGAUACUUUUAAUUGGGAUUUGAGUUGGGGUUACCUUCUCAAAUAAGUGGCAACAUGGGAGUAGUUAAAUAAAUUUAGUCCUUUGUUGUAGGGAAAAACUAGCUUUAUGCAAAACCAUGACACUUACAGCCUCCACCAGCAAAUAUUGCAUGUAGAAAUAGUUCUUGCAUUUCAUUGCUUUACAGUGUAACUAUGCCAGCAUAUUCCAUGUGCUGACCCGUUUCAGGCUACAACGUCUUAUGUUGCAGACUACUCAGACGGUGAAUAAGGUGCGAUAGGUUGUUGUUUUGCACUCAGUUAUGCCGUUGUAGGUUAUGGACUCAUUUACCUUUGAAGCUUCUGCGGUUAUUUAGUUUAGAUGGCCUUCAGCCAUGAUAUAUUUUUGUAAUCAUACUCUUUAUGACGACUCGAUGUAAUAAGUGUGUGAUUGAAACUCUGUUAUAAUUCCUUGAGUACUGUGUGUGUCAACAUUACCGAUCCAGGGAUGACACUGAUGCACAGAGACUGGACCGUUUGAGGUCUGGUCGCUACAAGAUGGUAUCAGACCACAUGCUGACUGUAGGACGCGACCACUAGAAUGAGCCAUAGGAUUUCUCUUCUUUACUCAUUUCUAAUUCUCCUCUCUUUCUACUCUAUAGUUGGCAGAUCCUAGGAACAAGUUCACUCAGCCAGAUGACGACACCCCUUUCAGAAAGCACUUGAAGGAAGUAACUAUGUAUUUGAACAUCGGACUACCAAACUUCACGGGGACUUUCUCUACAUCUGUACUGGAAUAGGAGCAUUGGAAGAUCAAAGUCUGGAUACCUGGGAGGACCUUUGCGCCAACAACGGAGCCUAUUGGUUUCUACCUGGAUGCACCAAGCUGGAGUAUAGGAAAGAGCAUGGCCGUGCAUAUCACCUUUGGACGCAUAUGUGAGGUGUAUCACAAGGAGCUUGCACUACUAGCAAAAGGCUAAUUAGUGGCGCACCUGUUUUGGCCAUUAAUGGCACACUACAGGUGCGCCACUAUCAUCACGCCACUAGUAAUUAAUGCUAAUGGCGCACCCCUGGUGCUCCAUUAGUAUACCAGACAAUAGUGGCGCACCAGGGAGUGCGCCAUUAGUAUGUCAAACGGUGCGCCAUUACUAUGCCUCCCAGGGGGACAUAUUUACCUUGUGCUCUGGGUUACUAAUGGCGCACUUCUAGAUAAUGCGCCACUAGUAUGUUUAUUGCAGUGCGCCACUAAAGUGCAGUGUGGUGCGCCACUAGUAUGAAUAUUAGGAACUAUUUUUUUCCUUUUCUGAUAUUUGCACACGUUACAAAAUACUCCCUCCGUUCCUUGAUAUAAGGUGUAUAGAUUUUCGAGAAGAAAUCCGAAAUAUAAGGUGUAUUACGUUCCACAACUCGUUUGGAUAAUUUCUUUAGGGAUUUGAUUACAUUUUCUUAUAUCAUGCAAGCUCCUCUAUUUUUUCUUGUCAAUUAGUCAGGUGCAAUCUCGCCCAAAACUUGUGAAAUUCCCCCUCCACGUGCGUUCUUUAAUUUCCACGCCAAAAACUAUACACCCUAUAUUUAGGAAUGGAGGGAGUAUAUUGCUGCACAGAAUAUAGGCAGCACAACAUAUAAACAACAGAUGUAUCGAAUACAAUAGAAGAUUAGUCUCCAAAUACAAUUCAUCAUAUUAGUCUCUGAAUUCAAAAUACCGAACAAAGUUAGAACAUUACAAGUCUCGAGACCGCGAGUAGCGAGUUUGUCUUCACAUUACAAGUCAAUAUCGAUCAUCUAAACUACCAUCACAUAGAAGAGAGCUGCGGUCAUCACGAUGAGCAUCAUCACGAUGAAACUGGUCUUCAUCCGGUUCCUCCAACGCUCCCUCCUCUCUCCCGCUAGAUAGUGCGCGUAUCUAGCUUCUGCCUCUGCCCUAGUGGUGUACCCUUUGUAACUGUUACCGCUGAAACGGUGAACCUGUCUCCAACACUCCUCCCAGCUGUCGUAGACUCCGGGAACCUUACCCUUGUACACGACAAACGACAACAUCACUAUGCACUAGCCAAACAAAACGUUAGUAGCAAUUCACAGACAAUAGAUAAGCAAUAUAUAAGUAUGCAUCAAAAGGAUUGGAAUAGAAAAGCAACACAUAAAUAGCACGAUUCAUGGUCCUACUAAUAAAUAGCAUCGAUUACAUAUAAGUUGAAUGAUUGUCCAAACCAAAUAUACAUACAAGUUCAUUAAAGUUUAAUUACAACAUGAGCUAAUCGAUAUUUCAGAACUACAUAGCAUCACUACUUUCGACUCGACUCAGGUACCAGAGCGUGGAUGAAGCCACCGUCUUUCGUGAUGGUCAUGAAAUCGCAGGCGUUGUCAGCCUGCAUUUGUAGCAUUGUUUCUAUCUCACUGUUGGACGGUUGAUAUCUGAGGUAGAACUGUCCUGACUUACGAAGGACAUCUUGAUGGAUGAUUUCUGAAAGCUCCGACUAGAUGCGAAAGAAUUCUUGUAUGAUGUCCGCGUCCUGGAUUGCUUACAAGCGUGCGGCCCAAUCUUUGAGAUUAUUUGGUAGCAUAAGGUGAUUAUGGUCCCGUACGAUCGCCUGCAUGUGAUGGAGGGCCUAGUAGGCAUCUUCUGACCGCUAGGCAGCUGCUUGACGCAGGGGAACAUCGUAUUGUGGGUGAACACGUGCUUGUCGUACCUAUGAAUUGGCCUGCUGAAGGUGCCUCCAGAUCUGGCAUAGCCGGGGAGAACAUCAUCAAGAGCUUUCUUGAUAUUUGUGUAGUCUUUCUUUGUCUGAUGGUCCGAGUCGAAAUAUGUGGCCAUGCAAUAUUUCGGGCUUAAGAGGAUGAGUGUGCAAUGUGUGACACUGCACAAAACACGGUGUUAGAAAAAAAGAAUGAUCGAAAUCUAAGAAAUCAUAUGUUAUGGGGAGGUGAGGGGAUGACUUACUCGGGAAAGUAAGGCACGAGGAAGUUAUCCUUAUCUGGGUUUGCCAGAAUGACGCCUUCGAGGUAUGAACUCGCGACUUGCCGGUCCCCAGUGUUGCCCAAGAUCUUGGCACGCAUGUAGAAGGGGUCGGCUAUCACGAUGUCCAGGGUAUUGUCUCUAAUGAUCCGCAUCUCCAUACUCAGCGAAAAUAGCCGAAUGAGGGUGUAGUGCAGCGGAUGAAGGUUAAACAUAGCGAAGAUAUCAUCAAACCACAGGAUGAUCAUACCCCCGAUGGAGCUAUCCACAAAGCCCUUGCCCUCUCGCACCUUGGCCACGAAAACCGGGUAUGCCACAUCAUUCUCGGAGAGACGCCGCUUCUCCAAAGAAAGAACACUGUCAUGUAGACUCUGCAUAGCACCGGUUGCAGCAUUGAGCAGAUUAGUCAGUAGCAUCGGCCUACCUGCCACAUGCACCCUCCUUGAGAUAUCCUUAGGUGAAGGUGGCCCAUCCUAAGCAUGGAUCGUACUCGGUGCCGGCUGGCUUGCACCCUUGUUAUUCUUUCUUUUUCGUCCCUUCUUCUUCUGCUAUAAUGGGAUCAAGUUUUGCUCAGAGACCGCCUUCUUGAGUGUGUUGGGGCUGAUAAUAUUUUGCACCUUGGCUAUCUGAGGCUCAGUGAAGGCGGCAGCAGGAGGCGUCUCCUGAGAACUGAAUGCCAGACGAAGCCUGUUGCAAUUGGGUUUCUCUGCGGUACUAGCUAGAUCGCGGUCGUCUUUUGCAGGGUUGGGUUCUUGAGAAGGAGGCCCCAAGAAUUCGCCACCGUACCCAUGUUCAUUGUAGUACUUAUCAACGUUGGUAAAUUUACCGUCGUCGUCGCCGUCGUCCGGAUCUUGUGCCAUAUGCAUGUCCAGAUCCUAUGCCAUAUGCAUGUUCGGCAUGUUGGGUAGCGUUGCGGCGGUCUUGCCAUGGCUUGGCGCCAGCACGACUGCUGGUGUUGUCUGUGGGGUGGUGUCCCCCGCCCCCAAACGAAUCUGGCUCUUCAACCAAAGCAGGGGCCAGCUUAAGCAGGCACUGAGGGUCAUCACAUCAUCUUCGUUGGCCCCAGCGGGUCAAAACGGAGGUAACAAGUCGUUGCAGCCUGGCAACACCCAAACCAGUUGAACCCUAUACACGGUGGGUGGCAUCGGAUUACCGUGGAACACGGGGUUGCCCGGUUGAACGGUUCUGCCCUUGGCGACAGCGAUAAACUCGCCACCCACGAACUGCAGGAGAGUGCAUGGAACAUUGGCGGCGCCCUACGAAAACAUGUAGGGCGUCAGGGAUGCCCAGUCAAAGGCAAGGAGAUGAAGUCAUCGAAUGAGAGGCUUAGUUACCGUGAUGGCAUCAAGCUCGGCUAAUGUUGAGGCACCGCCAAUGGCGGGCGUGCAAGUGACGGAGGGGCCGCUUGCUGCCGAGGUGCCAGCUGGCGUAUUCUUCGCACACCCACGUGCAUUAACCUCCAAUGCCCGCGCCGGCGCCCGAGACACCAAUACCGCCUCCGCCGGAGACACCAACGGCGCCGCCUGCGCUUUGUGUGAGUUACUAGCCGUGAAGCUGGGAACCGGGGGUGGCCCCUGUUGGCCACCCGCAAUCCACACCUACAACCCCUCAAUCAAGGUAGGCACAAUGGCGGUGAUUGUCGCUCCCAGUUGGUGUUCCACUUGCUCUUGGACCAUCUCCAGAAUCUGCACCACUUGUGCCUUGAGUUCUUGAACCUCGCGCGACUGGCUUUCCGAGCUGGUCUUUCUCUCCUUUCUCCCACCAGCAUUAUAGUAUUCCGACCAUUUUGUGGACAAGCCUUUGCCGGCCACACGACCAGCCGACGAUGGCUUACUGAACUUAUCCUUGUUUUUCAUUACGUUCAACGCCCUAUUUAAAGUGUUGUCCCAAAGGGAGCUCUGAGACGACCCCGCGCUACUACUUUCAGUGUCCUGCGGAAGGAAUGUGAACCAUUUAGGAAUUUGGCUCCAUCAAUUAGAAUGCAACCAUAUGGAGCUAAUAACGCGGGGGUGUAUUCCUUACCAGAACAAGCUCAAGCGCCUUGGUCUUCGGAUCCGUGGUAAGCUCCUUUGUUACCGGGUCCACCUUGUACCGGGCCCGGACAUAGUUCCUGGUCUGCUUGUCAUGGUAUUUCUCGAAGCGGGGCGGUAGGCCUUGCUCGGCAUGCUCCGUGUCCUCCUUGUCCCAUAUAGUUUUCGCCACUCUGUAAUCGCUGGGACCGAGUUGGUGGACCCCUAAGUUCAAGUCAUGCAUGUCUUCCCUCCACUAACUUGAUUCCACGGUUGUGUUUCUCUCGCACUUGAUCUUGAACUCCUUGUAGUCAUCUUUGCUGAUCGAAGGAUUUUUCUCCUUGAUAUUCUCAUAACUAUCACCUUUUUCAAUCAUUCUCUUCACCGCGCCUCUCCAAGUAGCCAGGGUUGUGCUCAUCUUUGUGAGGGCGGCACUGUUCACUUUAUUCCCUGGGAGGUGUGUGUUUGUGACGUCACGGGGGAACUUGUGUCAUUCGUGCAGCUUCGUGAAGAGGAGGUUGCGCAAAUUCCCUCGGUCACGAUGCCUUAGGUUCUCGGUGUUGAUCGAGACGGUGCUUUGGAGAAUGCACCCGAGCUGUCCCGCAUACCCCUUGACUAAUUCUUUGGGUGCCGUUGGAUGCCCCUCGGAGGACACUUUAGUAAAUUCCUCCUUGACGGUGCCGAGCAUGUUCGGGUGCCGGUCCUCCCGUUGCCUCUUCGGUUGGCUGCCAUCUGUGCGUGUGCUGACAUCAUCAGUGGUGGCAUCCUCGGCGGCACCAUCAGUGGUGUAAUCCCCGACGCCACUAGGGGUUGUGUAGUCAGGAUCGGUGUCUUCUGCGGCGUCCUCAUAGCGGUGAGGUUCUUCCUCCAUCUCCUGGGACAGCUCCCAGAAUUGCUUGCCCGAACCGCUGGCCUCAUCGUUGUGGGCCAUGUUCGCUCUAAAUAGGAAAAAAAUUGGUCAAAAGUUGGUUAUUGUCAAGGAACAAGAUCUCUAAGUUGACCAAAUAACUUAAUUCUCGAGGAAUGUCACCAAAAAGUUGGUUAUUGUCAAGGAACAAUUGAGAGGUGUUUGUGAUAUUGCCUAGGUGUUUUGGGAUGGAACCUGUUAGUGUGUUGUUGCUAAGGUCCAAGUCCCUUCCUAACCCCCUUCUUCUUGUCUCCUCUCACUAUCUCUCUCACACACAUGGCAAGCAAGGGUGUAUGAGUGUGUAAAAAAUACUAAACUAAUCCAUGGGCACAAAAUUGAUCAUCUAUUUCAGAUUGCAGUUUUCUUUCUUGGGGCUUCGGUGUGCGGUAUAAAACUGAAUUUUGGAAAUCUACAGAAUGAACAAGCUAAGGGCUGCAAAUGCCCGCAAGGCUUCAAGGGUGAUGGCAUAAUGGCUCAGUGUUAUUUAAGGGUUGGUUUGUGAGGAAUUAUCAUGGUCUCAUCAUUUAGGGUUUGUCAACACCGAGGCAUCCUAAAAGCUAAGCUUUUAUCAUUUAGGGUUUGUUGACACCGAGACCUAAAAGCUAAGCCCUAGGUUGGCUGUUAUAUCUGGAUAUCUUCUAAUAAUAUACCUUAUCAAGUAUGGCGCAAUAGUUAAAAAAAUAGCCAACAGUGACAUGCAAGUGCCGACAGAAAAGGGAAGGAGAAUUCUAAGUUGGGCCUAAUCACUUGGCUCUAUUGCCACCUAUGGCCGUUGCAUAUUAGUUGUGCAAAAAAAUUUAAGAGCGGGCAGUAAUGAAUAAUAUUUAAUGUCAUACCUCAAAAAGCUAAUCUAGUACCUCCAUUUAACAGUUUUCCACUAGAAAGUGCACAAAGUGCAACAAACAGAUUAUUUCAACCCCCCAAACAAUAAUGAUAACAUUCUUUUCCUGAACUAUAAACGACUCAUGGUUUCGUCUCUCCACACAUGAAUUCAGCAUAUGUGGUUAAUGCAGCAAGAAUAAAGGGACACCACAUGUCAAAAAUCUCGCAUCCAAAAUUUCACAAUUGAGCCUAACGCUAAUUAAGUACUAAGAUACCCCGGCCCAUGCAUUAGUAGCAAGUACCCCAUAUGUCCUAUUUUUAGCAAAGUCAUGCUAAAUUCACGGAAAAUUUCAGCAUGACCUUUGCUGAAAAUAGGACAUAUGGAGUACCCGAAUUUGCCAGAACGGAAGUUAAUCGACAUUCCGGCAAACUCAAGGGCCUCUCGGGGUACCUGCAAAAUCAUUAUCCCAGGUGGACAAGGCAAUGUGCUACUUGCUUAAAUCUCUGUCCAAUGCUAUUUACAAGACAAACAACAGGUGGCAAAGCCCAGUGUUUAAAAAAAGGCCUCCAUCACAACAUGGAAAAUAUGUUUUCCUGUGAAGAGGUGAAACAAUAUAUGCAUUACACAAUGAUGACUAGAACUAGCUGAAGUACACAAAGAACCCAUUUCUGAGUUGCUGCCACGGUACAAAUUACUCUAUUCGUACAUGUGUCAUGUCUGAUAUCCAGAGCUUGAAUACAACACUACUCGUAUUUGGUACUGUACAAGAUAUGUCUGAUUCACAAGUUAAUGAACCUAGGAAGGACAUAUACAUCAUAAUUGGCAGUUGUCCACAAAAUAUAUAUGUGAUUCAAAAGUUAAUGUAUGACAUGCAUGUAAAGAAGGUACAUCCGUACGUGAUUAAGAAAUUAAAGGCGUUGAAAAUAGGGUACAGAAGCAACAUUGCUGGCAAAAAUGCAAAGCAGGGCUUGUUUAACAUGCAUGUAAUCUGAAAUAUGUUUCUCUGCACCUCCUUUCCUUGUCUCCAGAAACACAUUCACGUAAGAGAUCAAGAUCGCAGGCUAAAGACUAUGCAUCGGAAGUUUAUCAGUGUAGAAUUCUACAGAACCUGACCCUAGGAUGCAUUAGGCACAACUCUAGAGAACGUCUUGACCAGAUACAAUUAGGUAGCAAUCUGAAACUUAGCCUAGCAACCAACUCUCGAAAAACUGCUUGAUGAGACACAAUACAAGGAAACAAACUAGCACCUAGUAACUUGAUAAAAAUAGUAGGAACUAUAGAUAAACUCCAGAAACUAACUUAGCCCAGCUACCAACAUUUCUGUCAUAAGCGGGAAUUUAACCGAGGUGAGUUCACGAGUCAAAGACGAAAAGGUGGGAAUAUCAAAUAGUUUCAGUUAGCCUGAUCCUAUAUCUAUGACAUUCCUCCUGCAUGAUCCACGGUGCAAAAACAGAACAUGCAAUUGAUCAAUCACGCACACAAUGCUGAGCAAACAAACUGAUGUGCAGAUAACCUACAGAUCAAACCCAUCACAUGAUGUCAGGAUCAUCCAGUUUACUACACCUUAACAGAUCAGAAACAAAAUGAUCACCCUAAGUUGACGGGUCAAAAUUGAAAGGGGAAUACCAAAGACUUUUAGUUAGGAAUUUAGCAUGAUCCAAUAUGACAUUCGCGCUGCAUAAUCCAUGGUGCAAAACACAUAAUACGAUUGCCAUGCAAGCUAGUUUUGCCAAUUCUGAUCGGCAUUCCACACACCAGGCGCCACCGACACCCCCAAAUCGGCCACACCAUGAAGCAAAUCCACACAUACAUAGGACAUAGCAAAUCGAGGGGAAACAGAAGAGGGGAAGCGAGGGGAGCUCACCACAGAGGCACACGAAGGCCCGGAGGUGGAUUAGGAGCAGCAGGCCGGCCGGACUUGAAGGAGAGGCAGCAGAAUCCGAGGUGGAAGAAGGGCUUGAUGGCGGGUUCGUGGUGCUCCUCGGCUCAGCUCCGAUCCGGUUUGUUGACGUAUCCGACGGAGACGACAUCGACGCUCGUGAUGUCCGUGCGGUGGGGGGUGGAGCAGCGACGGGCGGUGGUGGUCGGGUGCGGUGGGGGCGGUGGGNNNNNNNNNNNNNNNNNNNNNNNNNNNNNNNNNNNNNNNNNNNNNNNNNNNNNNNNNNNNNNNNNNNNNNNNNNNNNNNNNNNNNNNNNNNNNNNNNNNNNNNNNNNNNNNNNNNNNNNNNNNNNNNNNNNNNNNNNNNNNNNNNNNNNNNNNNNNNNNNNNNNNNNNNNNNNNNNNNNNNNNNNNNNNNNNNNNNNNNNNNNNNNNNNNNNNNNNNNNNNNNNNNNNNNNNNNNNNNNNNNGGGGGCGACGCGGGUGAGGUGAGGCAAAGAUAGCAGUGGGGGGCUGAGCGAGAUGUGAGAUUGGGGAUCGGAGAUUGGGGAUUUUAGUUGGGGGAGGGUUAGCAAUGGCGCACCUCCUAGCAGUGCGCCAUUAGUAAGUUUUUUUUGUAUAGCAAUGGCGCACCUCCUAGCGGUGCGCCAUUAGUAACUUUUUUUUGGAUAGCAAUGGCGCACCCUCCCCUAGUGCGCCAUUACUAACUGGUUUUUUUAUUUUUAGUUGCAUCUAAUAAUUUUUUAGAAAAUGACGAUCAAAUUUGAAAACAUUUAUGAAUGUGGAAAAAUAUCAUCAAAUUUGUUAUUUGAAAAUACUUUUGAAUAUGAAAAAAUAUCAUCCAAUUUGUUAUUUGAAAAUAUCAUCAAAUAUCUUCAAUUUUUUUGGAUUUUUAAUUGCAUUCAUUUGUGAAUUGGUAAAACAUUUAUGAAUAUGAAAAAAUAUCAUCAAAUUUGAAAAAAUAUUCAGGAAUUCAAAACGUGCCCAUGAAAUUUAAAAAUAUUCAUGAGUUCAAAAAAUAUCAUCAAAUAAAAAUUGGUAUACCAGAAUAAACAUAGAUACCAGAAUAAACAAAAAUAAAUAUUCAUGACGACUAGAAUAGAAGAAAUAUCAUUUCAAUAUGUCGAAAUACAAUCGAAAAAUGAAGACUACAAUUUAAAUACAAUCGAUCUUAGCUAGCUAUCUUUUCAAAAUCUUCUUGCCCUUCUUUUUCGCAAAUGGAGUUCUUCUCUUGAACGGACGUCCUUUAGGUAGGGUGGUCCUGCUUCUUCUUGUGGUGUAUGGCACUUCAUCAUCGUCAUCAUGUUCCAUCUUCGGGUCGCCGUACUUGUCGAAGUCUUGCUCAUUGGCGACUCCAUCCAUUCCGAUGAUCUUCCUUUUGCCUCUCCUCACGACAACACGACUGGGCUUUGACGGGUCGAUAAUGAAGAAGCAAUGGUCCACUUGGGAAGCCAGUACCCAUGGCUAAUUUUUCGCGGUGAUGUUUGCGCCCGCAGUCUUGGAUUUGGCUUCGGGUAUAACCAUGGUGGUGAAAUACCGGUCUUCUUUUAGGACGCUCUUGGCCCAUCUAACACAGAACAUCGUGACCUUCUCUCUAGCGUAGCUCAGCUCCCAGAUUUCCUCGAUCCUUCCGUAGUAUAUGUCCUCACUCCAAGAAAUAUGUCAACUAGUGACCUUCUGCCAGUGACCCUGGAAGAAUUGGUCAUAGAUCUAUGACCAUUUUAGACCAAUUGGUCAAAAGCUGUUCGGGGGGCUCCAAACCCUUAACUAUAACGACUAUUUUUGUUAGAAAGGUCAUAAUUUCCUUACACAGAAUGGUCAUAAAGCAGAUAGCACUAGUCCACUGCCUUAUUUCUAGCUGAUCAUGACCAAUAUAGAUGGUCAUAACCUUGUAAAUUGUGGUGGGUUGCUAUGACUAGGCGCCACCUCAUUAGUUUUGCCUAUGUGUCAUGUCCAUGUGGCAGUUUUUGCCCUAGGUUGUGAAGCGACCUAUAGUUUUGUCAUUCCUAAAAUUCCCAAAAAAUCUCAUAAAUUCUUUGGGUCAUGUCUUCGUCAAAUAUGUAAAAAACCUUCCUUGCCUAGUUCAAAAAUAAUUCAAAAAUAUUCAUUUUCCUAUUCUGUUCAGAAAAACACUUUGUGAAGGAAGUACCACUUUGGCAUGUCCAAAUGGUAUCCAUUUUCUACAGUGCUCUCCUAUGCCCAAAUAACCAUCCUCCACCAAAUGCCAGCUCGAUCCAUUCAUUAUUUUGAGCCCAGCUUCAACAUUAGUAUUUAUGUCCAGUGUGGUACUUUGCAAAGCAAGUACCACCUAGGCUCCUUCUUUUGAGCUGAAAAUUUGUGAAGACGAUCUUCUUAGUAACUGAUCAUCCUCAGCCAAAACUCAUGCCCAUUAGCCAUGUGGAUUUCCCGUACUGCUAAUCAAACACUUGGCUGCUUAUUCAUGUUUGAGCAUCGAUCAGUCUCCUCGUGAGAAUUUAUGUUGUGAUUUUCUUCCUAGCACCUACCUGGGGGGUGCCCAACCCACUAGACAUGCCUAGGCCGCCUAGAACACAUGGCAACACCAUGGUCACGCGGUGACCAUGCAGCGGGCAUGUGAGUUUACGCGCUCUAGAGUUGGGGCCCUCGGCCACCGUCCAAACCUCGACGUAUUGCCACAAAACCAUGUAUUUAUGAUUAACUAGGUACUUAUGUAACUAUAAAUGAUUUUUUGGAAAAAAUAAAUAGUAAACUAUGAGGCAGCUGCAGUUCAAAUUUGACCCGCUUCCAACUGAAUCGGUGGGAAUUUGUCUUUUUCACCAGAGGUGGAUCAAAACUUUUGACACCCAACCAUUUUGUAAAUUGUGAAAUAAAUAUGGCCUAGUAUUUUAGAAAAUUUAUUUGGUCCAAUUUUGCAACAAAUAUAUGGUAGGUCCUUCACAAAAAAAACUCAUUUCGGGCACUCAGAAAAUGGAAAAUGUAUUUUCCGUGCAAAUAAAAUGAAAACUCACUUAGGCAACAUUGUUUGGAAUUCCAAGAUGCACCCUUGUGCACAAUAUGAGAUCAUUUGAACAAACUAUGCCAAGAAUGUGGCCAUAAGAUUAAUCAUUUGGCUUGAAAGCCAUGAAUCUUCACGCAUGAUAGCUCAUUUCUGAGAACACCUUUUUAAAAUAAUUGUCGUAUUACAAGUUUAUUAUUUUUCCAGGAAACAUGGUCACAUAUAAUGACACAAUGCGAAGGUUUUCCAAUUUUUUGAUUUUUUAUUUAUUUUUUAUGCCCGUUUCAAAAUGCGGUCAAAACGACGGGUUGACCGUUCCUAGCUAGUGGUUGAAAUCUUGGAAUUUUUUUGGUGUUUCUCUGAUUAAAUAGAUACUUAUGUACCUAGAAAUGAUUUUUGGAAAAAAUAAAGGGCAAACUACGAGGUAGCUACAGUUCAAAUAUGACGUUUGGCACUAUGUUUGGGGCAAAACUACUUUCAAAUCCAUGGACUACUACAAGUACUACUUCAGGGAGAUUCCGUCGCACCAACUCUUUCUUUGGCUCUGGAAAUCUAAAUGUACUAUGAAGCCGAAAGUCUUUGCUUGGUUCCUACUCAACGAUAGACUCAACACCCGGAAUAUGCUCAGGAGGCGGCACUACAACAUUGGCUCUGAUCACAACUGUCUGCUCUGUGGACUAAACAUUGAAGAAACAGUGGAACACAUGAUCUUCACUUGUAACUUCAGUAAACAAUGUUGGCAAGCCCUAGACAUAAAUUGGGAACCAUUCCCUGGGCGCAUACGAGCAAUUGAAGACCAGAAAGCCUCCCACCCUAUUCCUAUGUUUUUCGAGAAAUUUACUGUGGCAGCGUGGAGUAUUUGGAAGGAAAUGAAAAACAAGCAUUUCAGAUCAAUCGACCCUUCCUUCAACUCCUUGCUAGGCCGUUUCAAGAAAUACUUUCAGCUCCUCCAACAUAGGGUCAAAGAGGGCCAUAAGCCCUUUGUUCUCAACUUUGUAAACUCACUACCUUAGGCCUUAGCUCUUGUUUAGCCUUUUUGCUUGGUCCAAAGUNNNNNNNNNNNNNNNNNNNNNNNNNNNNNNNNNNNNNNNNNNNNNNNNNNNNNNNNNNNNNNNNNNNNNNNNNNNNNNNNNNNNNNNNNNNNNNNNNNNNNNNNNNNNNNNNNNNNNNNNNNNNNNNNNNNNNNNNNNNNNNNNNNNNNNNNNNNNNNNNNNNNNNNNNNNNNNNNNNNNNNNNNNNNNNNNNNNNNNNNNNNNNNNNNNNNNNNNNNNNNNNNNNNNNNNNNNNNNNNNNNNNNNNNNNNNNNNNNNNNNNNNNNNNNNNNNNNNNNNNNNNNNNNNNNNNNNNNNNNNNNNNNNNNNNNNNNNNNNNNNNNNNNNNNNNNNNNNNNNNACCCAUGUACAAUACUCUUUGUUUUAAUAUAGUUUCACAGUAGGAGUCUUUCCUACUGUUCAUGGUCAAAAAAGAAAUUGACUCACUUCCAGCUGAAUCGGCGGGAAUUUGUCUUUUUCAUGAGGUGGAUCAAAAAAAAUUACACCCAAACAUUUGGUCAAUUGUGCAUUAAAUAUGUCCUAGUAUUUUAGAAAAUUGAUUUGGUACAAUUUUGCAACAAAUAUAUGGUAGGUCCUUCACAAAAAAACCUCAUUUUGGGCACUCGAAAAAUGGAAAAUGAAUUUUCCGUGCAAAGAAAAUGAAAACUCCCAUAGGCAACAUUGUUUGGAAUUCCAAGAUGCACCCUUGCGCACAAGAUGAUAUCAUUUGAACAAACUAUGCAAAGAAAGUGGCCUUAAGAUUGAUAAUUUGGCCUGAAAGCCAUGAAUCUUCACGCAUGAUAGCUCAUUUCUGAGAACACUUUUUUAAAAUAAUUGCCGUAUUACAAGUUUAUUAUUUUUCCUGGAAACAUGGUCACGUAUGAUGACACAAUGCGAAGGUUUUCCAAAAAAAAAUCUAUGCCCGUUUCAAAAUGCGGUCAAAACGGCGGGCUUGACCGUUCCUAGCUAGUGGUUGAAUCUUGGAAUUUUUUUGGUGUUUCUAUGAUUAAAUAGAUACUUAUGUACCUAGAAAUGAUUUUUGGAAAAAAUAAAGAGCAAACUAUGAGGUAGCUAUAGUUCAAAUUUGACCCGCUUCCAACUCAAUCAGCAGGAAUUUGUCUUUUUCACGAGAGGUGGAUCAAAACUUUUUUGUCAGGACCCCGAUUCUAUGCCACACCGGUCUAGCAUGUAACACCUCAUAACACUUUGCGGCCUCAUGCACGGUAUUCCCACGGGUGUCGCCUUACCAUGACCGGGACCGUUUGCGACUUUUGGCACACGUAUAUGAUAGUGUCCCUAGCAUCCAUAUGACAAGAACCCUGGCUGACAUGGCUAGUCGUGAACCCGAAGUGGCACUAACUUGCAGGGAUAGGCAUACAUGACCCAGCAUCCAACGUGUCGGUCAUCAGCGAGUGAAUCCGGGCUGUAGCAGCUGGGCUAGCAGGACUCCGGAGGAUCCGGGCUGUAGCAGGCUAACAGGACUCCGGUAGACACCGCGUGACAUUUCCCUGAAGGGACAUACACAGGAACGAAGGACACAUGCCGGCCAACCUAAGUGUUCCGGAGCAGUAGCAAGCUACCAGGGCUCAGUGGAAGCACUACGGUACAUUUCCCGGUAAGAGAGGCUACUAAGGAUAAACAACUAGAUAGUCAGAUCCCACACAUAGCAAUACACAUUACACGUACGCAUAACAUGCAAGUAUGUGCUGUACAACAUGGCAUCACAACAUAACUCAACAACUCAUAUAAAUAAGGCUCAUAGAGCCAUCAUAGCAUUUAUUACAAACAGGGGUCACAUGACCCAACAUUCAGAGCAAACAAGCAACAAGCGGAAGCAUUACAUGUCUGAGUACAAACAUCUACAAAUGAAAAGGCUGAAGAGCCCGGCUAUCUACAACAUCCUAACAAGAUCGUAGCUGAGGUACAAGCUACUCGUCGAAGUCCACGAGAACACUAGUAAGACCGAAGUCUCCGCUGCAAAAACAUAAAUAAAGCAACAUGAGUAGAGAGGUACUCAGCAAGACUUACAUCAGAUCCUAUCAUACAUGCAUUUGUAUCAAGAGGGUAAUGUGGGGUUUAGUUGCAGCAAGCCAGCUUUGACUUAGUGGCUAUCCUGUUCUACGACUAGAGAACUUCUUUGAGGUGAGAUGGCGCACACGAGUCCACCAACACUACAAAAAAAUACACUUCUGUGAUGAUAGGUGUUUGUCACAGUAGGUCGCGUUUUUUGUCAUGCAUGUACAUCCAUGACAAAUUUAUGAUAGAAUCAAGAUAGUCAUACAUGUGCUAUCGUAGAAGUGUUCCAUGACAUUACCAAAAUUAUCAUCACGGAAGUGUCCACUUCCGUGAUGAUAAAUCACGCGUCACAGAAGUGCUUUCGUCAAGGGUGACCGACACGUGGCAUCCACUGUAACGGAACGGCGUUAAGCUAUCGGGUCGGGUUUUGGAUCCGAUAACCCAUUAACAACCCCGACCAAUGGGGAUUUUCCACGUGUAAAAUCAUCAUUGGCUGGAGGAAACACGUGUCGGCUCACCAUUGGGAUAGAUGGCAUCCACUCAUUGGACAGAAGGCACCUAUGAUACGUCGACACGUGGCAUGGCCCAACAGAGGCCCAUUCUUGUGAAAAGGCCGGCCCAUUUGACUUGGUCAAAAGGUGGCGGGUCGGCCCAUGUAAAGCCUGUUAACGGCUUGUUCGCAUAUAGCCCAUUUACAGCCCGCUAACCUAAGGCCCGUUAUGCCCCAUCCGAAUUAGGCCCAGUAGCGUCAUCUAGGCCACCCAAUAUGAUUCCAGCCCGUUUUCAGUUCUGGCCCAUGUAUGGCCCAUGACGUCUUUUGGCCCAUAUGAGGCCCUAUGUAACUCUUGGCCUAUUAACGGCCCGUGGUGAAACUGGCCCGUAAUGAAUAGUGUAUUACUUUACACCCAUUAACGGCCCGUGGUGAAACUGGCCCGUAAUGAACAGUGUAUCACUUUAUACCCAUUAAGGGCCCGUUAUUCCGUUGGGCCGUUUCCAGCCCAUGUUAUCUUUCGGUCUUCUCAGAGCCCAUUUAUUCCUGGGCUCAUUUCCAGCAUUCGUUUACUUACAGCCCGUUACUGUCGUUUUCUGCUUAUGGGCCAAAUUCAGCCCAUGGUUACAGUCGGCCCGUUUGUGGUCCGUUAACACGUUGGGCCGUUUUCAUAGCGUCAUGAAAUACGGCCUUUUAACGAUGGCCCGUUAUGGUCGGCCCAUGAACCGACGAUUCCAACUCUAGCCCGUUUACGUCCAUAAUGCGGCCUGUUAUUGGCCCAUGUUUGGCCAAUCAAUCAUACUGCCCGUAUAAGGCCCAUUGAUGAUAUGGCCCGUAGAAGGCCCAUUGUUUCUGCGGCCCGUAGAAGGCCCAUUGUUUCUACGGCCCGUGGAAGGCCCACUGUUUAUACGGCCCAUGGAAGGCCCACUGUUUCUACGGCCCGUAGGUGCAGUGUCACUACAGUAAAUAUUAGCCCAUGGUUAUUGUGGCCUAGUUUUAAAAAAUAGGUUGUUGCAGCCACUAGCAAACCGCAGAAAAAGAACUGCACUGACUACAAGCAAACAAAUAAACAAGACAGCAAGGAAAUAAAUAAGCAAGCAACUUACACUAGGCUAUCACGGCUAUUACACAUAUUACAUCCACUGGGCAUCAAAGUUCGCCACUAGUGCAAAUAUAGGGAACACAGCAGCAUAUAAACGUCGCAGCAAAACAAGUCCAGAACUGAAACCACUUCAGAAGAGCUCAAGAAACAAUAUCCUGGGUACCCAUAAUGCUGGCAAGAUGCUUAGCAGCAUAUAAACGCCACAGCAAAACAAGUCCAUAACUGAAACCACUUCAGAAGAGCUCAAGAAACAAUAUCCUGGGUACCCAUAAUGCUGGCAAGAUGCUUAGCAAGUUUAUUAACUUUCUCUUGUUUGGCGCUUAAGUCCUCCAGCGCCUGCUGUUGCACCAGAAAGUAUGCAUCUGAAUUCUGCAGGGACUUCCUCGGUCCUUCGGCUUCCUGUCGCAUAACAUCUGAUCGAUGUCUUUCAACUUGAAGUUGAGACUCAAGAAGCCAAAUUGAUUCAGGCAACGAGUUCGAAGAGCAGGUGCCAGCAGUGGUAGCCAGUAACUCGAACACUACAUCAAGACAGGACUUUGGGGUUGUCUCAGUCUCCUCAAUAUAGUUUUUAUCAGCUUUCUUGGAGACCAACAGGGAUGUCUCACUAUCUUGAACCUUAUCUGCAUUACUUCCUUUACCAUUGCAUAACAGGGUACUCUUCUCCAAUAUUUUAUCCGUGUUCUAAAAGGGAAACAAACAAACACAUCUCAGGUUUACAAUGUAGUAUAUGAAACUCAUUUUGGUAAAGCAGUUCGGUAGUAAGGUGGAUAGGAUAACAGCAUGAAACAAACAUAUAUCUAUGUAGUAUGGUCACUGUAUGGUCUAUAUCAUUCUAGUUUAUGUUUCCAAAUCAAGAUAGAUAUAGUUCGAAUCAUAUCUAUUUAAUACAAAGCAGCAUAGACAGAAUAUAAGUGUGGGAAACUACACAGCAAUAACAACACUUGUAAUGUGCAUGGCAUGAGAACAUAACUGUUUAUUCAAUUGAAACAGAAAUCAACAUAGAGCAAGUUACAACAGCAAGCAGCCAAACACGUUGAAGAAACAGGUUUAAAACAUACCUGUUGCGCCAUUGGAGUUUCAAUUGCAUCCUUCAAAUUUGAAAUUGGUUGGUAUCAGUAAAUACAGUGAUGCAAGAGCAAAUUAGUAUGAACCAUAGCUACGGAACCUGAUCUGAGAACAAUUCUUCUUCUGCUUUAAGCGUUGACUUCGGGUUCGGAGUGGUGGUCCUCGUGAUUUGGGCACUGCAGUUGCCUUACUAACUGCUCAUGUUUGGGUGCUCUAUGGUGGAGACGGUGUUGUGUCAACGGGAACUGGGUGUCUAUCUGCUAGGGUUGGGGUUAGAAGGGGUGUAGCUGGUUCUCUCUCCAACUGGGUAGGGGUACAAUCUGCAUGAGUGUGGGUUAUGUGUGGUGGGGCUGAUUCUUGGGCAAGUACAACCGUGGUUCUAUCUGCAUCGACAAGUAGCACGAUCUUUUCUGAAGACCGUGUUUUUACUCCCACAGAUACUGCCAUCACUCCCUCCAAUUGAAAUGGCUGAUAAACAAGAAAAGUAAUUGAAUGUACAGCCAUUUAAGAUAGACAGGUGCAAUGGAUAGUAGGGAAGAAAACAGGGCAUGAAAUAAUUCACAUUUAUGUUGUCUAAGCAAACAGAAUAGCAGGACAUAAUUUCACAUAUAUGAUGGCUAAUUAAACAGGAUAGCAUGACACAAUUUCACAUGUAUGAUGGCUAACUAAACAUGAUAGAAUGACAUACUUCAAAAUAUGAUGACUAUGUAAACAGGAUGACAUGAUAUAACUAUACGAUGUGUCUAUUAAAGUGGUUGGCAUGCCAUAAAUCACAAAUAUGCCGUCGAUGGAAACAUGAUGGCAUGAUAUAAUUCACGGAUAGAAUGACAUAAUUUAAAAUAUGAUGACUUUGUAAACAGGAUGAGAUGAUAUAACUAUAUUAUGUCUUUAGAAAAUUGGUUGGCAUGCCAUAAUUCAGAUACAUGAUGUCUAUGUAAACAUCAUGGCAUGACAUAAUUCAAAUAUAUGAUUUAUAUACUAAGGAAGUGAGCAGAGGGCAAUUGCAUAUAUGAUGUGUCAACUAAGGAGAUGGCAUUCAAUAUUGUGUAAUGAUGUAAAAAAAUAAGCAUUGCAAUACAACAUAUGCAUUAUAUGAGUAAUAUAACCCUGCCAAGUUUGAGCAUACACCUCAGGGGGGGUAAUAGGACUGGUCAUCUGCCUCUGAAUCCUCCUCUGAAGAGCUAUCUGUAACCAGCAAGAUAUCUGCUUCACCAGGUAGCAUUGUCUCCUCUGAAGACCUUGUUUUCACUCCAGAUUGCUCCAUCACCAAUUCAAAAUGGCUGAUGCACGGGAAGAGCAGUUGAAUAUACAAACAUUGUCGACAAAAGCAAUGAGAAAUACAAAAAAAGGACGGCAUGAUAUAAUUCACAUAUAUGACGCUUGCCUAAACAACAUGGCAUUGCAUAAUUCACAUACAUAAUGCCUUGCAACAAGAUAACAUUGCAUAAUUCACAUAUACAAUGUCUUGCAACAAGAUGGCAUUGCAUAAUUCACAUAUAUGGUAAUUAGACACUAAACAGGUGGCAUUCACACAAAGCAUGUCUAAACUAAGCAAAUGACAUAGCAAUGCAAGAUACCAUACGCACGAUAUGAGUAACAUAACCCUGCCAAGUUAGGACAUACACCUCAGGGGGGAAAUAUGACUGGUCAUCUGUCUCUGAAUCCUCCUCUAAGGAGCUAUCGAUAACCAGCAAGACAUGCGCUUCGUCAAAUAGCAUUGUCUGCUCUGAAGACCUUGUUUCCACUCCAGAUUUCUCCAUGACCGUGUCGAAUGGCUGAUGCACAGGAAGAGUAAUUGAAUGUACUAAAGUUGUUGACAAAUUUAACACAUAAUAAAAAAAUGAUGGCAUGAUAUAAUUCACAUAUAAGAUGACUGGCUAACCAGGGUGGCAUUGCAAAAUUCACAUAUAUGAUGCCUAGCUAGACAAGAUGGCAUUGCAUGAUUGACAUAUACGAUAAAGAAACAAAACAGAUGGCAUUGACACAAAGCAUGUCUAAACUAAGCAGAUGGCAUCUUUAAUGUAUACAGUAAGCAAUGCAAGGCACCAUAUGCAUGAUAUUACCAACAUCAGCAUGCCAAGUUAGAGCGAAGACCUCAUGGGGUAAAUAGGAGUGGUCUUCUCCUUCUGAAUCCCCCUAAGAACAGUUAUCUUCCUCUUGAUUAUGAUCUGAAAUGGGUGGAGGGGGGCUGCCUUUGCGCCCACCAUGGAACGACGUCUGCAUGAAAUUUUAUUGCCACGCAAGCCUCGUCUCUUUUGCUCUACAUGAUCAGUUCCAUUGUGUACAAUAACUGGCAUGCAUAGGAAUAAAACAUAGUGAGAUUAUGUAAGGAGUGCAUGCACAAAUCCAGAGUGAUGGUAGAAAACUAUGGAUAGACCCAAAACCAAUGAUAGCAGGCAGAUAAUAGCUUUAGUUAAAAAAUACAGAUAAUGGCUCCUUUAAUGUUUGUUUGCACCCAACAUGAAACUCAUAGUAGACACCGGAGAUUAACCAGAUAGUAGACAGAUAGUACUGAUUGCUGCCCCAAUAUGUACCCCACAACCAUUUAAAAACUCAAGUUUCAGCAUUAGUUUGGACCUGACUCGGAGUCUAAUAGGUGAACAAGACGAUAAUGUAGCAUGUCAUCAUAUUAAGCGACGCAUAACGUAAGCAGACACGGAAGAGUGCGACCUCUCUUGCGGACCCGUGUAGUCCUCAAGGUCAUCUGCUCAGUUGAUGAUGGUAAUGCAGUUGUCGUGGCUGCCGGUGACGGGGAAGCAGAUCUGAGGCGGCGAAAGACAGUCUGGAGAGCAGAUCCCUAUUGUGGUGAACCCAUCCAUCGUUGGAGCAGCUGAGCUGGGGUGGAACACAGCGCCGCAGGAGCAGGACAAACCACACAAGGUUUUCUUUGACACAUAUCUGUAACAUAAGUAAUUGAGUAAGGGCUUGCUUGAAUUUGAGGAUUCUAACAAUGCAGGGAUAGGAAAUAGACAGGAAUAUGAUAGGAAUGCACGUGCAAAACAGAGAAUUUAAAAACACAAGAUUUCUGCCAAUCUGGGUGUUUGAUUCACAACAAUUGGAAGAUCACAGGAUGCAAAAAAGCAUGGUGAGAUUAAGUCAAACCACAAGAAAAUGUAUGGUUAUAAUGAUAUUAUGCUACUAUCUCUUAGUCUUGUGCUUGAUGAAUAGGAAUGUGAAAAGGAGGAGAGGUGGAAACUAGAAUUCCUACGGUUUUUAUUUCAAGGAGACACUAAAGGAACAAAUCCUACAGUUUUCCUUUACUCCAUUCCUUUGCACCAAAUUCAUAAAAAGUAGUACCAUAGGAAACUUUCCAAUUCCUAUGUUUUUCAUUCACUUUUCUUUUCAAGCACUGGCGAUUCUAGUAGGCAGGCUUGAGCAAGGAAAAUCCUACACUAAGAAUUGUUUUUGUGCUACUUCUAUUACUUUGGACCCAGGCCACUGCCAUACUAGCUCAACUCCCAGGCCCAUCGACAAAUGCACAUCUCAAACGCAUAGAGAUAAAUAAUGAUGGCAUUCAAGAGAGUCCAUCACGGAUAGCUAAGUUGCCUGGUACCUCACUGCUUGUCAUAUAGUAGGAUAAAAUAGUCGUAUUUCCCGUUACUACGAGUGCUCAGUGGACAAUAUAUAUAACAUGUAGAGUAAAAAAGAGAUGCAACAAGUGUACAACCUCUUUGGCGAAGCCAUGUUGAUCUCAGCGUGAUUGGGUGGCCGGUGAGGAUGCUCCAGCUGACUUUGCUAUCGGAGGAGGGGAAGAAGAUCUUAGGCGUCUGGCGAUGGAGCCCGAGGUACUACUCCGCUGUGAUGGAGGGUUUCGUCGUUGGAGCAGCUCCGGAGAGUUGUACGACACCGAGGCUGAAGCAGGACAAGAGAGACAACGAACAACAUUAACCUGAGUGGAAUUCUAAUAGCAUCUCAAAUACAUGACGUAAAAUACAUAACCAAAAAGUGCUAGAUGUAAAAUACAGUAGCUGCUCAUCUCUAAACUUAAUUGUGGAAACUAAACUUAACUGUCAAAACUGAACCUAACUGUCGAAACUGAAUUUUGCUGUCGAAACUAAACUUUGUUGUCGAAACUGAACACACUAGUAAGGUGAGGCUACAUGUCGGUCGACUUACUUUUUCAUCUCUGGCCAGUCGAUUUUGCAGUCGUUGGAUACAAAAUCAAGGGCCUGCGGUUCAUCUUGAACCUCCACCCCCCAUGAGCCGCCAGCCACCACCGGCCAAACAGCAGCCCCCUGCCACCCGCGGCCGGCGGUCCGCCGCCCCGCCCGCCCCGAAAACACUCCCCACUGCCGGUCCACCGCCGCCCCAGCUAUCCCUCUAGGCCCCCCCGUGCCGAGAUUUUUCUCCAGCGAUCCCCACCCCACCGCCCCGCCACCGCUGGCGACCACUGCCACCAUCCUGAACCCUAAGAUAGAUAAUGGGGUACCUCUCCGGCGAGCCCCCCUCCCCGCUGCGGCUGGUUCUUCCUUCACCCAGGCGAGCCCACCCCUUGGAAAUCGACUGACCCAAAAGUCGAUUCAGGCGACUGAAGUGUAGCCAAAUCGGAGGAGCAUCGCAAGCAAGAGCAAGAGCGAGAGCAGUAGCGCGAGCAAGAUCAAUAGAAAGAGCAGACCAGGCAGGGGACUAAGAGCAAGAGCAGAGCAGUAGCGCGAGCGAGAGCUAAAGCAGCAGCAGCUCCUUCUGAUGUGGACGUCGCCGCUGAGGGAGCGAUGCCGUGGAGGAAGUGUCGGAGACGCCGCCAUGGAUGGAGCCACGCCGUGUCGGCUCGGGACCGAGCGCCGGCAGCACCGUGAGAUUGAAUCAAGAAGAAAAUGCGGCGAUUAGUGUACAACCUCUUUGGUGGCGCCGAUUAGGCCGCAACUUCAUCCGAGGAAACGGUGAUGAUGAUGCUCUUCCGGUGGUGCAGGUGAAGACGGCGGUGUGGGAAUGGAGGUGGCGCGAAAGACGAGGGGAACGUCGGGGCAGCUCCUUGGAGGUGGAGGACGGGGUGGCUGAACGGGCAGGACGAUGAGAUCGACGACGGAUCCUCAUCCGGUACGGUGGAUGAGGGAUGUCGAGGUGUUGCUGUGGACGACGUCGUCGGGGAAGAAGCUCCAGCUGGGUGGCGGACGGAGCAGGGUGUGGGGUUUUGUCGCAGGUUUUCGCAGCCUCGUUGUACGAAUGGGUGGGCGGAUGGGAUGGCUGUGGGGAACCAUGGCUUAGAGACGCGCUUGUCUGAAAUGUGGGGUAAGUUAUGAAAGUACCCCCCACUGAUUUGAGGUAGUUCUUUUGGUUCAGGGGUACCAAGGGCAUUUCGCGUGUCGGGAUUUCACAGGAGGUGGGAGUUUUCCGCGCGUUGUAAUUUCGGAAUAGCAAGGCGCGGGUUGAGAUGGAGGGAUUUGUCGGAGCACAAUGAGACAAAGAUAUAUCUUAAAUAUUUCGGGCUAACAAGGCGCGGGUUGAAGAGGCGGGAGUUUCGCAGCAUGAUAGACAGAGACGCUAGCUUCAAUUUUCGGCAUAAUAAGGAGCGGCUUGAAAUUUCGGAAGAACAAGCUUAACGUGUACAAAAAAAAGACAAUUUGCACCUCAACACGCACAACACACACACAAACACCAUUUAGACUAGAGUAAGGUACACGUGCAUUGCACGCAUGAGAUUUGCCAACCAAAUUAUGAAUAAAUACCACAUUAUAGCAUGCAAGCUUUGAGUCAUAUAUGCAUGAUGUAGAUGUUCGUUUAAUUCUUAUAGUUCAUUUCAUUCAAAAUCAUCUAGUUUUUAUAAGAAAGCUAAUCUAUUUUAAGAUUCAUGGAAUUGUGCGUUGUAAUACAUAAAGUAAAAAACAAAUAGUGGCAAAUCAUGUAGAAAAACAUUUGGGCAAUUAUGAUACGGAAGAUUCUAGAACAAAUAAGAAGUGCCUGUGUUUUCAUAUUUGUGCAUUAUGCUUAAGUUCAACCAUGGAGUCUUCUAGAUUAUACAUGUGGCGAAAUCUGGUGGAAUCUAGAUGAUAUCCCAUGGCCAAUAGUGCUCAAAUUUCCCAUCUUUGGACCUUCCGAUUCGCCUCAUCCAAUGACCAUCUUUCAAAGUUAAAGUUACCUGCUCACAAUAAAAAAUAUAUAAUAUAUAGGGGUAUAGAUAUAGAUAUGUGAUGCAAAAGCCACCCAUCAUCUCCAAUUACAUGCACGGAUGCGACAUGGGCAAAUGAUGUCUGCCAUCGGUAUCUCAAAUUCAAAUCAGUCUGACCUUGUUCAAUGUGUAUACAUUACAACAUGCUCGUUUCCAAAGCACACCGUGCAGAUCUCCGUUAUAUUCAUGCAUGCAUGGGUUUCAAACAUCAGGAUCUCUUAUUCAAAUAUUUGAAUUCAACUUUACAUUGAUUAUGACCUCACCUAUUCUUUUACACCCACACAGCAGUCUUCUCUUUAUAGUUGUACCACUAACUUUCUCUCUUGCAUGCAUGCACACACACUACCAGUCGGCAUUAUCUAUCGCAUGCAUGCAAUCUUUUUCUUCAGGUCGGUCUCCCAUGAAGGCACACACCCACACACAUCCCCCUCUCCCUCAUACCGGGCAUUCUUUAUCUCUCACGCAUGCAUGCGCAACGAUCGAUGUUCCUCUAUGUAUGUGUGUAUAUAGCUAGGUCUUUCAUAGUUUUCCACACAAACCGAUCAAUCGUUAUAUCCAGUGAGGUCUCACCCUCUUUCCCACGUCCACAUCGAUCAAUCUAUACCUCUCCCACGUCCACAUCGAUCAAUCUAUACCUCUCUAUAUAGGAUUAACAUAAAUAGAUAAUACACCCACAUUAAUUAUAUAUCCAGCGUCCCCCUCUCAUCAUCCAUGCCUUCCGCUUCAUCUCUCAGAUGCGUGCACAAUGGCGAAGACAGGGGCAGUAAGGGCCCUGCCCCUCCCCCUAACAUCACUAUAUAUCGAGGCUAAUAUGAAUGUGAUCAUUAGACAAUUGUUGCUAAAAAGGUUUAAUUUCAUGAAUUGACCCUCCUCAUAAAGGAUUAGCAAUGCUUGGCCCCCUAGCUCGUUUAUUUUUCACCGCCACUGCGUGCAACAGCGCACGUAUUUGCCCCCUCUCUCUAAAUAUCGAUCUCGCACUUGUGCAUUCCUUCAUAGUCUCCCUCCACUCGGCCCCUCGCACCAUCUUCUAGCCCACCACCGGAUUUUGCCACAUGUACAAUCUAGCAAACUCCAUGGUUGAACUUAAGCAUAAUGCACAAACCUCAAAACAACAGUGGUUCUCUUUUGUUCUAGAAUCUUCCGUAUCAUAACUGCCCAAACUUUUUUCUAGUUGAAUUGCCAUUAUUUGUUUUCACUUUAUGCUUUACAACGCACAAUUCCAUGAAUCAUAAAAUAGAUUAAGGGCUUCUUUGAUUCAAAGGAUUCUCAAAGGAAUUUUGGAGGAUUCUAAUCAUUAGGAAUUUUUCCUAUCUUGGUUGUUUGAUUCGUAGGAUUGUAAACCAUUUUUCCAUAUGUUCAUUUGCAAGAUUUCAUAGGAAACAUCCCAUCCACUCAAACCUCUUUGAAAGAAUUCUAUGUUUUUUCUAUGCACAAUCAAACACUCCUACAAUCCUCUAGGAUUCAAUACGACAUUCCACUAUAAUCCCAUGUUUUUCCUAUUCACGCAUUCUUAGCUUUUUUAUAAAAACUAAUUUGAUUUUGAAAGAGAUGAACUAUAAGAAUUAAACAAAGGGCUACAUCACACAUAUAUGACUAAGAGCUUACAUGCUAUAGUGUGGUAUUUAUUCAUAAUUUGGUUGCAAAAUCUGAUGCGUGCAAUGCACGUGUAAAUUACUAGUACUUCGAGUAUGUGCAAAACACGUAAAUUAGAAUACCAAUGGCACGCUACACAGUGUCUCUCUUACAGUUCAUGAAGCCACGUGGCACAUGUGGAGGCGUUGUCGUUACCUCCUUGCAUGGAUUGAUCACAGUGACGUGCUGCUGGUUCCAGAAGAAUGUACUCGUCCUCCCUGAGCCAUACUGGCGGUACAUGCACGAAGCGAAGAUGUGCACGAACACCACGCACGCACUCAUUCCCUCGCACGCACACGCGGGUACACGGGCGGACGCAAUUUUGUACCAAGAUCCAUCCCAUGUGAUAAUUUGACGCGUCUAAAGUCGUUCACUUCAUUGAUGGUCAAUUAAUACAGCGCAUGCAAAUUGAUUGGAUGUGAGGGCAGAAGAAAGACAUUAUUACUCCACUGCGCACAUGCGAGUAGUUAAAUCGUGGGUUGCUAGUAGUACUUCCAUUGGUCUCCUUCGUAUUUUGUGCCAAUUUUUGACAGUAACAUAAUAUUUACGCAUUUGAGCAGUGUAGUACUUGAAAUUUAUGUUCCGCUAAACUCAUUGGGAGCCGUUUCGACCCUCGAAAACAAAACCAUCAAUUAAUCUUUACCCUGUUCCCAUCACAUUCGAAAGCCUGCUCACACCUACUAGUACGUACCAAACCUGAACGUGUUCCCACUAUGCAGGUGUUAGUACUACUAGUGCUAGUACUUAGGUUAUAAAAAGGGGAACUACCUAACCAAAAAUUACUCUACCUUUCCUCCUCAUAAGUGCUUCUUCUUCGUCCGUCGUUGCCAUGGCCGGUGAGCAGAGCUCUAGGUCGAGAACUAAUUGUAACAAGGGAGCGGCAACCAAGGCUACGGAAAAAAAAGAGAGGGCUCGCCGCCACGCAGAGACCUCAAAAGAUCUCUCAUGGGCAGGCGAUGGCUCCCAAGAGCGCCCUAGCCAUGGAGGCGAACAUGCCGAGCCGGCAGAGCUGGAGUCGUUAUCCCGUGACGGCAUGCCCGAUCAGCUCAAGAAGCACCUCAAUAAGCAGAAGGAGUGCAUCCAAGGCUUGAUGGAGUUGCUGACGGAGAGCCUCGACGACAUGCCCGCUGAGCUCAAUCAGUAGGGGGAGUUGACCGCCGGCUUGGUGGUGCUGCUGAAGAAGAGCAUUCCCUCGGAGAAGAAGGCGACCGGCAAAAUCCUGCGACUUCAGGAGGACAAGGCGAAGCUCUGCCACGAGAUCGACCUGUUGAAGGAGAAGAACGCCGGCUGGAAGAAGUUGUAUGAGAAUAGUAGUUCCUCGAUGAAGAUGCUGCAGGCCCUCGUCAUGGAACAGAAGGAGGAGUUGGCGAAGCUCCGCAUCGAGCACCCAGCUGCUGUCAAGGUACGUAAUGUGACCGUGGAACAGAUGAUGAAGGCUCGCAUCGAGAAAUCCCGCGUCAUGGACAGAAUGAAGAAGAUGGCGGAGGAGACGCGCAAGGAGAUGGAGGUCGUGGAGGCGAUGAAGAAGCAGUUACGAAUCCGCGGUGAAUUAGAUCAUUUGGGGUGAUAAUCUUCCUUCUUCUUUUGCUGCUAUGUUUCAUCUUUUGCUUCGGGUGUUUCACCGCACGUGUCACGUUCUCUGCGAGGCAUGAAUAGAACAAUGGUUUUUGUUUUUUGAGGGAAUGAAUAGAACAAUGCUAACAAUGAGAUCACUAGCAAAUUAGAUCAUUUUUUAUCGCCAUAUGGCACUGGGCUGCCGUGUUUCGUGCUCCUCCGUCGCAGUACUACUCUAGUGGAAAACUUGAGUAUACCGCACGGUUCUUUGCUCCUCCUCGAUCAGGUCGUCAGCGCAUUUAUACGAGCAGUCAAAUCACAAGGCCCCUCCUUCCAGUAGUAAUGAGCCAUCAAAUCACAAAGGCCCUCGCCUCUCGUGAAACCGACCAAGCUAGACUGCCCCGCCCUCUAGCCUUUUUAAAAAUGUAUACUUUUGUACAUCAGUAGUAUCGAUGGAUUGCGCCAUGGAGCAAAACUUGAAAUUAAAAAAAAGGUGGUACAUAUAGAGAGCGCUUGUCGCCAAAUUAUGCAUACGGUACUAUUAAAAAGGCUAAUCACAAUAAUGGUGUCCAGCACAACCCACCCCUCAAAUAAAACUAAGCACCCUGGAAUUCUUUGACAAAACUAAGCACCCUGAAAUUCUUUGACAACUAAACUGCUGGCUAUAUGAUGUUGGCCAUAUAUAUUGUACGUAUAUAAUGUGAAUAAACGAGUGGUAGUACUAUACCAACUAAAAGAUGAAAUGUAAGAAAUACUAGUAUGUUCUUACUAAAGAGUUAAAGUAACAAGAAGAAACAUAACAUAAUUCUGCUGGGGGCUUAGCACAACACACCCCUCAAAUAAAUGAAGCACACCUAAAAUUAAACUUUGCAACUAUUCCGGUAGACACUGCAUUAGAACCACCAUGAGCAACGACACUGCCACCUUACUCGGAGUCCUCGUCCACGUCCUCGACUUCUUCCUUGUCCCUCUUCCUCUUGGCCAAUACUUCUACGCUUGAACCGCCAACUUGGCUGUUGCUCUUCAUCCAACCCUUGUAGAUAUUGAAACAAAGGUAGCCAUCCAUUGUAGCGUACUGGAUGUGGUCUAUAUCUAGUACAUUCCGCUGCCAUGCAUGACGAUGAAAUGUGUAUGCAGGUUUCUCCAGUUUACCGUACGAAGGAUGAACCAUGGCUCCUGCCAGGGUCAGCAUUGAAGGCUGGCGAGAGGACACCAGCCGAUUCUUUUGGAGGUCGAAGGUGUUGCCUACAACGAGGCCUAUCCGACGCAGGACUUCUUUGUCGUUACCAAAGUCUACAGUAACGAAUUUGACUAGGUUGCUCUCGAGGAAGUCCUUAAAAUCCUGGCACUCAACAUCGGCAUGGCAUAUGUGGUAGACCAAGCAUAAGUCAUGCAUGCAAACCUGGAUCACGGCGGGCUUCUUCCUCUCUUCGUCCUUUAGAUCCUUCUCUCGUCCCACGACUGUGGUGUACUCAACAUCUAGCCCGGCGACCCACUCAUCAUGUGAGUCUUUAAACAUGCGUGUGAAGCGAGAAAGGCAUCCUUUCACCGUCGUGGAAGAACGGGUGUAGAUGACGUCGAACUCAUCGCCGGUGAUGGUUCUAACCUUGUACUCACCGCCGAUCGGGGAGAUUUGGGACGCCAUGGAUUUGGGAGGAGGGUUAGGAUUAGUGGAACUGCCGUAAUGUGAAUGGACGGGACGACUAGGAGCGAACCGCCGUAGUAUUAAAGGACAUGCGGGGACGAGUAGGAGCGAACUACAAGCGUGCGAACGGUAGGGUAGUGGCUUUCCAUUCUCCCAUGAUACGGGCUUCCGAGAGCCCUUGGAUCGGAGAUCGAACGGUUGCAUGGCGUGAUUCAAGACCAAUGGGCGAAUAUCCUAUCCUGGAGGGUUAUUCUGCAAAUUUUCAGUAACUUAGCAUGCGACCGUUUGAUCUCAAAUCCAAGGGCUGCCAGCAGCCCGUAUCAUGGUCGCGCCUACCACGACCAUCGCGUCGCUCAUGCAGUCGCGCCCUUGGAGAUUUAACACGGUGCGUUAGGCUAUCUGAUGUUGGCAUGUCAUACAUAGUCAUCACUUAGUCACUCAUACUACAACAAGGUUGGCUAUAAGUGUAUUUUUUUUACUCCUCUCUAUCGCUUUCUUCGUACUCCCUCCGUCCCAUAAUAUAAGAACGUUUUUGACUCUAGUGUAGUGCCAAAAAUGUUCUUAUAUUAUGGGACACAGGGAAUACUAGUAUUUAUUGCAUUUGCCAAGGAGUGACCUCUUCCAAUGAAAUGGUGUUGCUAAGUUUGCUUCAUUUAAUUAGCUAUAGACUCAAAAUUGUCUUUUCACCUAGGUACAUGCGCUUAGCACCAUUUCUUCCUUGGGUCACCAAACUAGUCUCUCUCUUCUUGAUUAACUUGCCACAUCAGACUUUAUGCCUAUGUGGCAAGCUUAAGCACCUGUAGGAGCAAGUAAGGUGCCCGUCCGUUGCACGGAAGAGUGAAAUGCAUUGAUCGGGGUGUUGUUUAUUUUGACAAAGGAUGUGGGGGUCAUCUCAUGUGCAACCGGGUCGACGUGUCAAGCACCAAAUAACAGUGCAGAACAGCAGGGGGCGUACCCCACUCAUACCGGCCCAGUGUUAGUAAUGAGAAAUGAAACGUCAAAUCACAAUGCCGCACCUUCCCAUACGGACAAAGCAACCAUUAUUUCACACUUCGGUUCAACAUUAUCUCAAACCACGUACUAGUAUUCCUUCUGCCUCAAGAGGGACACACGCAUCGCCUUGGUACAUCAUGACACGUGGGACCGCAUGACAGGCCAUGCUCCCCCGCUGAUCGCUGGGUCACCUCAUUUUUACUAUACUUCCUCCGGAUCGGUUUACUACAUGGCAUGCACGUCGUUCUAGGUUGAGAAUUUAACUGGCUAUAUAUAUAUAUGUGAUGAACAGUACGCUAGCCUUUUAAAAAAUGUAUACUUUUGUAUAGUAGUACUCCACUAUCGAUGGAUUGCGCCAUGGAGCAAAAAUUGAAAUUUUAAAAAAAGGUGGUACAUAUAGAGAGCGCUCGUCGCCAAAUUAUGCAUAUAGUACUAUUAAAAAAGCUAGUACGUGCUUAAUUGGGGUGCUAAAUUCUAUUAAAGAAAUACUAGUACUAGUAUGUACAUACUGAAGAGUUAAAGUAACGAGAAGAAACAUAACAUAGUUCUGCUGGGGGCUUAGCACAACACACCCCUCAAAUUAAACUAAGCACACCUGAAAUUAAACUAUGCAACUAAUCUGGUAGACACUGCAUUAGAAGUUUAGAACCGCCAUGAGCAACAACACUGCCACCUUACUCAGAGUCCUCGUCCACGUCCUCGACUUCAUCCUUGUCCCUCUUCCUCUUGGCUGAUACUUCUUUGCUUGAACUGCCAACUUGGCUAUUGCUCUUCAUCCAACCCUUGUAUAUAUUGAAACAAAGGUAGCCAUCCAUUGCAGCGUAGUGGAUGUGGUCUAUAUCUAGUACAUUCCGCUGUCAUGCAUGACGAUGAAACGUGUAAUGAGGUUUCACCAGUUUGCAGUACGAAGGAUGAACCAUGGCUCUUGCCAGAGUCAGCAUUAAGGGCUGACGAGAGGGCACCAGCCAAUUCUUCUGGAGGUCAAAGGGGUUGCCUACAACGAGGCCUAUCCGACGCAGGACUUAUUUGUCGUUCUUAAAGUCUAUAGUAACGAAUUUGACUGUUUUGUCCUCGAGGAAGUUCUUAAAAUCCUGGCACUCAACGUCGGCAUGGCAUAUGUGGUAGACCAAGCAAACGUUAUGUACGCAAACCUGGAUCACGGUGGGCUUCUUCCUCUCUUCGUCCUUCAGAUCCUUCUCUCGUCCCACGACUAUGGUGUACUCAACAUCUAGCCCAGCGACCCACUCAUCAUGUGAGUUUUCGAAUAUGCGUCUGAAGCGAGAAAGGCAUCCUUUCACCGUCGCGGAAGUACGGGUGUAGAUGACGUCGAACUCAUUGCCGGUGAUGGUUCUAACCUUGUACUCACCGCCGAUUGGGGAGAUUUGGGACGCCGUGGAUUUGGGAGGAGGGUUAGGAUUAGUGGAACUGUCGUAAUGUGAAUGGAUGGGACGACUAGGAGCGAACCGCCGUAGUAUUAAAGGAUGUGCGGCAAAGAGUAGGAGUGAACUGCCAACGUGCGAACGACAGGGUAGUGGCUUUCCGUUCUCCCAUGAUACGGGCUUCCGAGAGCCCUUGGAUCUGAGAUCAAACGGUUGCAUGGUGUGAUUCUAGACCUAUGGGUGAAUAUCCUAUCCUGGAGGGUUAUUCUUAAAAUUUUCAGCAACUUAGCAUGCGACCGUUUGAUCUCAGAUCCAAGGGCUGCCAGCAGCCCGUAUCAUGGUCGCGCCUACCACAACUGUCGCGUCGCUCGCGUGGUCGCGCCCUUGGAGAUUUAACACGGCGCAUUAUGCUAUCUGAUGUUGGCAUGUCAUACAUAGUCAUCACUUAGUCACUCAUACUACAACAAGGUUGGCUAUAAGUGUAUUUUUUUACUCCUCUCUAUCUCUUUCUUCGUACUCCCUCCGUCCAAUAAUAUAAGAACAUUUUUGACACUACCUAGUGUAGUGUCAAAAACAUUCUUAUAUAAUGGGACACAGCGAGUACUAGUAUUUAUUGCAUUUGCCAAGGAGUGACCUCUUCCAAUGAAAUGGUGUUGCUAAGUUUGCUUCAUUUAAUUAGCUAUAGACUCAAAAUUGUCUUUUCACCUAGGUACAUGCGCUUAGCACCAUUUCUUCCUUGGGUCACCAAACUAGUCUCUCUCUUCUUGAUUAACUUGCCACAUCAGACUUUAUGCCUAUGUGGCAAGCUUAAGCACCUGUAGGAGCAAGUAAGUACAAUAGUGCACUUUACUUGGCAUUUUUGCAUAUGCGGAGGAAAGAGAGGCAAGGAAAAGUGGAGAAGUGGGCUCACAUGCAAGAGCCAGCCUCUACUACUACUACAUGGUGGAGCAUUGGGAGAGGCACCUCUAUGGAGGUGGUCAGGAAUCGGGAGACUCACGUCGGUCGUAGCGUCGCAGUUAAAAUGGUAAUGGCAAGUCAAAUCAUGGGGCACCACCUGUCCAUCAGUAACUCGCUGUCAAAUCACACAGCCCUACGUUUGCAGCAGCCUACUCCCUCGUCUUCUCGCGUCUCUGUCGAACUGACUAGGCGGAACUGUCCCGCUGCCUACCAGGAAGGAAAAGCCCCGCCCUCGACUUUUAAAUAGUAUACAGUAUACUAAUUUUUUAUCCAUGGAUUGCGCCCGCGCCAUGGAGCAAAGCGUCUAGAAAACGACGGUACACAUGUAUGGAGUAUACAGCACGCACAUCGCGUUCGCGUCGCACCCCAGAUGGUCGGUCGGUCUGGCACGCUGCUCUCCGAAUGGAACGCGCGUCAUAUUGCAUUCGCACACACAUGUGGGACGACAAUUGAGAACCGACCAUAGGCACAUUCCCCGGGCCCGCAAGUCGGGUGACUUAAUAGAAGAGGGAGACGAGCGAUAGUACUAGAGAAGUGUUGUACUAUGUUGGUGCCUGGACGAUCCCUGCAAGACACGGAAGAUUAGUUCAUCCAUGCAUGUGACCGGACUCCAGCAGACACGCCUGGAUUGGCUGUCGUCUACAUAUCGUGCUGGCUGUGUUGUACAUGGUUGUAGUUGUGGUGAGAAAUCUAAAAAAAGGUUUCUUGUCAUCUCGCAAAAUUAUGUGUCAUGUGCUUCGGAUCACUGCGAGGGUUAAACAGCGACAACUGAGUUGGGCUAGUCAUUGGGGGCACAUGCACGAACAGUGACUACUCGGCUGCCAUCUAGGUCAAGCAGGCUAUGUUAAUUAGACAUCUAUCGAUGGACCCCUUUUCUACGAGUUUAUCUUUAAUUUGAGAUUUGUUCCUCGUAUAGUUUGUCCAUCGGGAUUCAUGUUGUCUCCUUUGGGCAGUGAGGUUAUGAUUUCUUGUCAUGUGGCAUUUUUCGUCUUAUAUGUUAUAAUCCGGCGCUUCAGAUCAAAAUGACGACAAUUGCGCCUCCGGGCCACGUGCAUGAAGACUUCUCGACAGUCAUUGACGAGGUCAAGCCAGCUCCGGUAGACAAAAGAAAACUAAGUACUACUCCACUAUAUAGGAAGGAGCCUCCGCGCUUGCUUGCUAGUGUUGCUCUCUUCACAUCGUCUCGGCCUCUCCAGAUCUAAACAUGACAACGGUGGCCACACUUUCUCCCUCUCUGCUCACCGCUGGUCACAAAUCCAGCCGGAUCCUCUCUGCCGGGGAAGGUGGGAAGGUGCAAUGUUCACACGUCGUCCUUAGCGAUGGCUCUUACCCACUGCUGGGCGCAACCCGAUCAGCCUGCCUUGCCGUUCUCUCCCAAGCACCGCUGGUGAGGGAGGGCCUCCGACCUCUUCUUCCUUGCUGCCAUAGUGUGGGCAGAUCCGGCCUCCCGCAGCCCACCUAGCGACAUCCCGGCGACCAUCAAGUAUAACUUCCUUCGAAACUGGCCUUGCUCUACUUCCCGAGCUCCUCAUGUCACUGCAUUUGUAACUUUUACUAUUUCACAGGCCCCCUCGUAGAUAGGAUCGAUCGGCUGUUCGAAAACCACCUAUUUUUUACGAUUAGGAGGUAAAACUAGUUCAUGCACUCGAAUCUAGUACUACUUGGUUCAAACAAGGAAGAAAGGGGGUGGGGGUGGGGGAGGAUUUGUUACCUGAAUCUAGGACAUGGUCGAAAGAGGAAAUAAUGGGGGCGAAAAGUAGCAGGGACUGGCUAUCCAACUGGUCUCUAGGUCUAAUAGGGAAAUAAAGGGAAACACAGUACAAACUCAAUAUAAACCCGAUCUAUAGGUUGAAAAAGGAAAGAAAGUGGGGACUGUGGGACAAGUCAACAGAGUAAGUCCAGCACUAGAUUUUCUAGCCUCACAUAGUAUAAGGUGGCUAUACCGAACAAAAAUGGGACCAACCCAGAUAUCCUGUUCUGAUGUUUGUUGCCCCGAGCCACUCUUAUGUAAUGCCACUGGUAAAAUGUAGCAGUCGCACUAUUAAAAGUAAGGACACGUUAAACCAAUGUUGUUUUCAAUGUAAUGCCUCCAGUAAUAUGAAUCAAUGGCACUUCUUUACAUGUCCUGCUAAAAUUUCCCAUUAAGAUAAGUUGGUUCUUUUCGUUAGAAAUGCAAUUGUCAUGGUCCGCCUACUCUCCCGUGCCCAAAGUAAUGUCGUAUUUAACGGUUGUCAUAGUUAAUCCUGAUGCCCACACUAAUAUCUAGCAAUGCCACUGCUUUAGAAAUUGCUACUGUCCUUGUAGGAUUUCCAUUCAGAUAAGGAACAUGCUUCUUUUCAUUUGAUGCAUGUUUCAUCACUUGUUACUUGUUAGUCACCCUCCUUUCCACCUUUUUUGUGCAAACAGAGAUAUACAUUUCACGCUUGAUCUUAGUUGAACUACACAAAUGAUAUCCAAAUUAUAGUUGAGCAUUCCAGGAGCUUCACAACCAACCUUGAUGUUGCUCAAUUCUAUUGCAACUAAUGAAGAAGAAGCUCUAUGGGUUUCGUUUUUUGAUGGAAAUGGAACCGGGGCUGGAGCCCUUUUCUUAAAAAAAAUUGAAGAAGAAGCUGCUAGCUCACGGCACAUUGCUUCAUUUUAGGUGAACUGCACCAAAAGGUCCCAUGAAUUGAAUCAUCCAUGUUGGUGACUGAAAGAGCCAGCUUCAGCAUCCCAGUCUAAGCACCCCCGGCCUCCAUCCUUGCGACGCACGGUGCACCUCAUUUGCCACCUGCUCGACCCUAGUGUCACUGAUAAAAUGAAGUAAUAAUACAGUUAAAAUAGAGCAAGUGUCAUCUCUAUCAUUUCAUUUCCAAUGUAGAUAAAGAAAGUGCUUCUCUUUGUUAAAGUAUGUUUCAUCAACUAGUCCCAUUGUUAAUGUUUAAGCAUUUCUGCAAACUGGGGUGCUUAAUUUUAGUUGAUAUGUACAAAAAUAGAGAUUUGAAUGUCUCAAGGCGCCUCCUUGUACUACUGAUGUACACUGAUGUUCAUCACUAGCAGAAGGUGUAUCUGGGAGACUUGGGACGUGUCCAGUAUGAGGCGUACCGUAUGAGGCGUUGCACGGCCCAUCUCGCCCUCGCAGCAUGGCAUACUAUGAUACUAUCGCAAUAUUUUCUUAUAUUUAUUUUGUGUGUUUCAUCAACUAGUGCCACUAUAAUGUAAUCACGCUUUUUCAUUAUCUGUGCAAACAGGGUUAUUCAACUGCAUUUUGGUGGAACUGCACAAAUGUACGUAUGGUACCGGCAUAUAUGCAGAGUGCGAGGUGUGCCAAGUAAAAAUUACUGACACCAACCAUGCUGCAUGCACGCAUUGGCAUCCACCACAACUAGUGGGAUGUGUGGCGCUCUAUGUGGACGGAUCUUUCUCGGCAGCAAAUCCUCUAACCAAAUACUAGUAGCUUAUAUUGGCAGUUUUCUAGGGAGUACUCUUUUCUAAAAGAAGCACCAAUCUAUUUUUCUUUAUUUGUACACUGUGUCACAACUUUGACCCAAAGGUCCAGAGCUAUUUUAGGGUGAUUGGCGUAGUACUCGGAGACUGAUUGUAAGCAUGAUUUUCAUUAGCUGUCACACUGAUUGUAAGCAUGAGCAGGUGGAAGAUUAGGUUAGUGCGAAGCUUACCUUAAACCCUACCGCCGCCGUUGAAACGAGGCAAGCGUCGAGGGAACCGUGGAGAACGUCGGGGAAGCCACGUCGCGCCAUCCGGCCUCCUCUUGCGGUGGGAGAACGAAUACUCCUGUGGCUCCGGCUGGCUCUACACCCUCACAAAGAGCACACCAUACUCGAUCGAUUCGUUAUCCUCUGGGUGCUCGACCUUCGACCUGUACGCCCACCACCUCCGCCUGACUGUCGCCUCGGCGAAUCUGUCUGCUCCAUCGCCCAUAGGAGAUACUCAAUGAACUCGGAGGACUGCGGCAUGACUGUCACCGAGGAGUACAUGUACAUCACAGCCCUCAUCGCCGCCGUCUCGCUCUUUCGCAUACAUUGCCACAUGGCCCGCACCAUCCUUGAAAUCUCCCACUCAUUGUCAAACCAACUAAGGAUCUCCUUCAACCUGGCUAACUUUGCCUGGUCGCCGCCGGUGAUCUGCCUGAUUCGCUACGGCAUCCUCUCCAUAGUUGUCGUUCUGAGUGGUCCGGUGCUAUCUUUGGAAGAUGGGAGGAGAGACGGUGGUCUUGCAAUAGAGAAGAGGGAGAGGAGAGGAGGUGGUUUUGUAAUGGAGAUGAUGGAGAGGAGAGGAGGUGGUUUUGUAAUGGAGAGAAGAUCAGAAGAGGGAGAGGCGAGACGGUGGUUUUGGAAUGGAGAUGAUGGAGAGGAGAGGAGGUGGUUUUGGAAUGGAGAUGAUGGAGAGGAGAGGAGGUGGUUUUGCAAUGGAGAAGAUCAGAAGAGGGAGAGGUGAGACGGUGGUUUUGGAAUGGAGAUGAUGGAGAGGAGAGGAGGUGGUUUUGCAAUGGAGAAGAUCAGAAGAGGGAGAGGCGAGAAGGUGGUUUUGGAAUGGAGAUGAUGGAGAGGAGAGGAGGUGGUUUUGCAAUGGAGAAGAGGGAGAGGAGCGUGCGGCAGCGCUUUAGGAUUGGGCGAGAGGGCCGGCGUGCUGUGACUGGAUCAAAAUCAAAAUCAAUUUACCCUUCAAUUAAGAAAGCGACCCCACAUUAACUAGUCUCCCUUUUAUUCUGGGUCAUAAUUGACCAUGAUUUUCGCACAUAAAAUAUAUGUUAUACAUUGCAAAAAUAAUAUAAUUUGAAAGUACAUUUAGAUACGAACCAAACGAUACAAUUUUUGGUGACAUGCAUUCACAUUUUGCUUGUCACAUACAGUACGUGGUCAAACUUUGACCCAAAAUACGCAAAACAACAAAAAAUACUUCCAAGACCAGUGCCGCUCUUCCGCUCUUCUCAUGUUCCAAUCUAAAUCCACCGCCACUCCUCUCCUGUUCCAAUCUAAAUCCCGCGCUGCUCCUCUCCUCUUCCAUUUCAAAACCACCGCCCCUCCUCUCCUAUUCCAGUCCAAAACCAACGCCGCUCCUCUCCUCUUCCAUUCAAAAACCACUGCCUGCGAGUGAAGGUGCUGUGGAGAAGUAGAUCGAUGGAGGAGUACAACCGAUACGUGAGGAUCGCAGACGGCGACCCUGUGAAGCUAGCUAGGAUGUUGCAGAUACAGUCUUGGUUUGACAACAAGGACCAACUAGCGGCGACGGCGACAUCCAUGGCCAAAUAUCUGCAAGAGAGUGAAAAGGUGGCGAUACUCCCGGAGGGAGUCGCGCCGAAGUACAUAGAGCUGCUCCUCUGGGCCAUGGAGCAAACAGAUUCACCGAAUCCGAUCGUGAGGGAGCGGUGGUGGGAGUAUCGAUCCCAGAUGGAGUAUCCACCAGAGAUUGAAGGAUCGAGCGUCUACAGGGUGCCGUUUGUGAGGGUGUCCUGGCAGAGCGAGCCAGUGGAGUCUUCGUCGACUGAACCCAACUGCAAGAGGAGAAAAGCAGUUGGCCAAAUGACGCUUCCCCGCCAUCGUCUCCCUCGCCGUUCACAUCGUCUCAUGGGGAGGCUGUCUGCCGCCGAGGAAUAGGAGGGGACUGCCCCCCAGCCCAAUAGUCGGGCAGGUUGUGAAUUGUCAGGAGGAGCUUAGGGUUGUCAGUAUUUACAGGUUGUGAAUUAUGUUUUGUGUUGUGUAUUUUGAGAGUACUUUCAGAUAUGAAUGUCUUUUGAAUUUCAGAUUUGCAGUAUUGAGCAUAUGAAGAAUUUUAUGAAUUCUAGAGAUCUAUUUUUAGCACUUAAAAAAUGUAGUUUCAUAGGAGUAUAAAAGUGCAGACGAGAAGAAACUGCAAGUUUCAAUUUUAGAUAAGAAACUACAAGUUCAGUUUCAGAUAAGAAACUACAACUUUGAGAGGCAGAGCAUUUAUAUUAACACGGCCUUUUCAAACAGGGUUAACAUCAUGUUGGAAGUUUAAUUCGUGGUCGAAAAUGGAACUACCAGCCAGUUAACAUCAUGCUGAUCAAAAUUCAUGCAUAGCACAUCUUCAUAUGAUGCACAGUCAAAAUGCCCACACAAUGUUGAGUGUGCGAAACACAGAGAAAACGAGGAACAGGGUUUUGGCAAGUGUUGGACGUGGUUUUGGGAUGCCCCAUCUAGGCUUUCAUUUUUAACAUGCGCAACCCACGACCUCGGAUGGGAGGGCCUGUUUGUAUUUUCUUAGGGCCGUCAUGUAUCGACCGGCCUAUGGACCUCCCAUCUGAGGUUUUAUUUUUGGCAGCCCAAUUUAUGUAUUUUUUUGAAGAAAACGUAGCGGUCUGUUCUAUUUUUCUAUAUAAGAAUAGGAACGCCAGGUACAACUUAUGUUUCCCUUUUAACUAUAUUAUAUAUAUUUAAAUUAUUUUAUAUGUCAUUAUAUAUUAUUUUUAUUGUCAUCAUAUAUUUAACAGAUACUUACAUAUGUAAGAAAACAAUAUUCCACAUCUUAUUAACUUCUAAAAAUAAUUUCUUAACAAAUAAAAUCCUGGAUUGUUUUGGCACGAAAAUCCAAGUGAUUGUGUACAAAAGCUUGGCAAGAUUUAAGGACGAAUGUAAUAAUAUCACUUAUUAUUUAAAUAUAUUUAUUACAAAAUGCUCGGCCCUUUUUUAUUUUUUGAUAACAUUGCUGGCCCAACCCAACAUUAUAAUUAGAAUCAGCCCAGCAAAAUCGUGUAUCUAGAUAAAGCGCAAAUGGCCUGUAAUUUUUUAGGAAAUAAAAUAAAUGGGCCGCAUGAAAGCUACAUUAAUUGUUCACCCAGCCCAGCUAAUGGCUGUAAUUCAAAAAAAAAGAUCAAAUUGACUGUAAAUUCUACCGCGCAAAAAAAAGACUGUAAAUUCUGAAAAAAUGGGUUGAAUAUGUGCCACAUUUUUGGAGGCUGAAAUGUGGGCCAAUAGGUCGAAGCCAAUGCAAGUAGUUGUAAAUUUAGUCAACAAAUGAUUCUGACAUGUUAGCCGUUGGAUUUACAUCCAACGGCCGGCAUCCAUCUUCAAUCUCUCGUCUUCUUCCUCCAGCGCCGCCGAGACCACCUCCCACCUCCUGCUGCUAGCAGCUCCGCUUAGCACGCUUCGCUAUGAAGCGCUACUCCACCGUUGGCCAGGCCAUCCCUCCAACCCUCCACACCUCCUGUUCUUCUCCACUGACUGCCGAACCACACCCCACUAGAACCAGUUAACCCUCGUACACCUCUCCGUCUGCGACUCUACUCCUGCGUCUUCCCAUCUCCGGCUCGUUGUUGUCCGGGGCCUCGCCGUUGUCCACCACCUUUGAUGCGCCCGGCGUGGCAUGGUCAACGUGGUCAACGAACGACACCAUCGGAAGUAGGCUAUGCGUGGAGAGGUUGACAGCUGGGUCCACGACCGCACACAAGUAAAUGCCUCCUUAUUAUGUGCAAAAUAAUUAUUCCUCCACCUGACAUCUGGGACCCACCGGAAGGGCCUCUGUAUUUCGCGAAAAAACGUGCCCCCGGCUGACUUGUCGGACCCACCAAGUAUCUUCGCAUGCAAGGAAAUGCCUCCUUAUUAUGCACAAAAAAAAUGAAUACUCCCCCUGCCAGCUGGAACCGAGCAUACUCAGAGGCUGACUUGUGGGCCUACCAAGUUGACGGGGACGGAGGGCUUUGUCAACUUAGUCAAUAUGAAUGAUUCUAGCUCGUGUUACCGUACGAUGUUCAUCCAACGGUUGUAGUGCUUCUUCAACCUCUGGUCUUCUUGCUCCAGCCGCCCAAACUAGCGCCGGUCAUGCCGCGUGCUCCUGCCUCCCGUGGAUGACUGUGAUGUCGCGGAGGCCUCACGGCCUCCUACUACUCCCACCGCUGGCCAGGCCAUCCCUCUACUCACCCACACCCCCUGUUAAUCUACGGCGACAGCAGCCUCACACCGCAGCCGAACCAGUGACCCCUCGUACUCCUCUUCGCGUGGGCAUCCACUGUUGCAUCUUCCCCGGCUCCGAGUCGUCCCCUUCCUAGGCCUCGCCGUCGUCCACUGCUGUGGUGUUCUCGGCGUGGCGUGGUCAACAUGGUCAAGGAACGACUUCCAUCGAACAUGGACUGUACGUGGAGAGGCUGACAGCUGGGUCCACGGCCGUAGCAAGGAAGUGCCUCCUUAUUACGCGGAAAAUAAUGAUUCCUCCACCUGACAGCGGGGACCCACCGUACGGGCCAUCGUAUUUCACGAAAAAAAGUUCCCCCCUGACUGCUGGGACCCACCAGCUACAUCUUCGCACGCAAGGAAGUGCGUCCGGGCAAAAAAAAGAUUCGCCCCCUGAUUGCUGGGACCCACCAGCUACAUCUUUGCACGCAAGGAAGUGCGUCCGGAAAAAAAUGAAUCACCCCCCUGACUGCUGGGACCUACCAGUUACAUCUUCGCACGCAAAGGAAGUGCGUCCGGGCAAAAAAAAACGAUUCGCCCCUCUGACUGCUGGGACCCACCAGCUACAUUUUCGCAUGCAAGGAACUGCCUGACAGUCGGGACCCACCUGGUCGAAGCGUACAUAGCAUUGUCAUUCUGGUCGCGAACUUGUACGUACAUAUAUACUGGUCAAUGUAGAGGCGCACACGUGACGUAGUAAAGGCACACAAGUGUCGUAGUAGAGGCGCGCACAUAGCAUGUACAUGUACGUAUAGCGGCCAGGGUGUAGGAAAGAAAAUACAGCCAUGUAUGUGUACAUACGGGCGGGGUCUCGAACGCCUAGUCGCGCAUACGUACGGCGAGGGCUCGUGUUCAUGGGGAGGCAACAGAAUGUGUCAUGUUCAUGAGGAGGCAACGGAAUGCGUCGUGUUCAUGGGGAGGCAACGGAAUGCGUUGUGUUCAUGGGGAGGCAACGAAAUGCAUCGUGUUCAUCGGGAGGCAACGGAACGCGUGGGAGCCAACCGGCUUGGACGGAACAGGCGAUGGAAACAAGACCUGGCGUACCGCAGAACGGAGGAAACGGACCUCCUACGGUCGAAAUGGGGGUCCUGUUGAUCGAGAGGGGUGUGGCAUACCGCAAAACGGAGGAAACGGACCUCCUACAGUCGAAACGGGGGUCCUGUUGAUCGGGAGGCAUGUGGCGUACCGCAAAACGGACGAAACGGACUUGUGUUGGAGCGCUACGGUCGAAACGGGGGUCCUNNNNNNNNNNNNNNNNNNNNNNNNNNNNNNNNNNNNNNNNNNNNNNNNNNNNNNNNNNNNNNNNNNNNNNNNNNNNNNNNNNNNNNNNNNNNNNNNNNNNNNNNNNNNNNNNNNNNNNNNNNNNNNNNNNNNNNNNNNNNNNNNNNNNNNNNNNNNNNNNNNNNNNNNNNNNNNNNNNNNNNNNNNNNNNNNNNNNNNNNNNNNNNNNNNNNNNNNNNNNNNNNNNNNNNNNNNNNNNNNNNNNNNNNNNNNNNNNNNNNNNNNNNNNNNNNNNNNNNNNNNNNNNNNNNNNNNNNNNNNNNNNNNNNNNNNNNNNNNNNNNNNNNNNNNNNNNNNNNNNNNNNNNNNNNNNNNNNNNNNNNNNNNNNNNNNNNNNNNNNNNNNNNNNNNNNNNNNNNNNNNNNNNNNNNNNNNNNNNNNNNNNNNNNNNNNNNNNNNNNNNNNNNNNNNNNNNNNNNNNNNNNNNNNNNNNNNNNNNNNNNNNNNNNNNNNNNNNNNNNNNNNNNNNNNNNNNNNNNNNNNNNNNNNNNNNNNNNNNNNNNNNNNNNNNNNNNNNNNNNNNNNNNNNNNNNNNNNNNNNNNNNNNNNNNNNNNNNNNNNNNNNNNNNNNNNNNNNNNNNNNNNNNNNNNNNNNNNNNNNNNNNNNNNNNNNNNNNNNNNNNNNNNNNNNNNNNNNNNNNNNNNNNNNNNNNNNNNNNNNNNNNNNNNNNNNNNNNNNNNNNNNNNNNNNNNNNNNNNNNNNNNNNNNNNNNNNNNNNNNNNNNNNNNNNNNNNNNNNNNNNNNNNNNNNNNNNNNNNNNNNNNNNNNNNNNNCGGCUUCAGUUAGCAACAGUAGCGAGGGAACCCCUCCAUCGGGUUCAGUUAACAGCCAUCGAUCGAUCGCUCGGGUUCAGUAACGCGUAGCCUGCAGUGCAAUCGCUCGGGUUCAGUUAGAGCCCAACGCCUCGCUCGGCUUCAGUUAGAGCCAACGCCUCGCACACACGCGCGUACGUACGAGAGAAACGCGCAUUGCUCCGCCCCCCGACCUCCCACCAUAACCAGUAACUCCCUGAAAUUUUCCUCCCCCUUGCUUCUACCACAGUUUUUUCCGUCAUGGACGGCCCAAAGAAUGUCAUGCAGCUACGUCUCCGGCCCGCCCAGGACGAAGAGCCCAUUUUCUGUCAUGAUUUUUUGUCAUGGAAGUAGGAGCCCACCACAUCUAUGAUGAUACCGGGUUUUGUCACAGUUAUCGUCAUAGAAGUGUCAUAUGUAUGACAGAAAAAAAAUUCGUUUGGCCCAAAAUGUCACGGAUGUGUAUUUUUUCGUAGUGUAAACACCACACAAUACACUACUAUGAAUUCAUCCCCGUCUCCCUACGAGAAGGCCAUCCAUAGCACUCACACCUGUCUUGAGAAUUUUAGAGUAUCCACUUCAAGUUGUCUAUGUACCACGUAAGCAUCCAAGAAGUCCAUAACCGCGAACACGGCUAUUCUAAUAGAUCAUGUUAACCCUGCAGGGUUGUACUUCUUCACACAUGCUCUCGCCACUUACCGCCAUGUACACGUCAUGUAUCUCGGCAACCUUCAAGCGGAAGCCUGACGAGGGUGUCGGCCACGACCUGACUAACCACACAAGACUCUAAUCCAGGUUCAUCGCCUAUUCGGGUUCCAUUCGUAAGGAGAUGCAGCCGGGGUUUCACUCACGGCCCCAAAUGAUGUGUGCAGGGUUCCUGAGCCCACCAUCCAGGUGCCACUCGGUACACCAGGCCAUGUGUGCCUAGUCUGUUCCAAGCCCACCCUGCUGGGUGCCACUUGGUAGAAAAAUAACACUACCUACAAACACCAGAAAAUAAUUAUGACUCCUGGACAGAGAUCAAGUUGGUUAAUAAGUCGAGAGGGGCACUUAAGCAUUCCAAUGCGUGGUAGUAGCUAGUCAUUGGACAACAUACACAGAACUCAGUGCUUAAGGAUGAUUCCAUUGAGACAACCCACCAUGUACUCCUACAUGGCCUCUCACCGCUACCUUUACCAAAUCGUGUUCACACACUUAACUCUCAGCAUCAGAACAUAGAACACUGCACUCCAAUUCAUUCCCAAUGAAUCAGACCUGACACACUCUAAGCAAUAGCAGGCAUGGCAUGGUAGGAACACAGCAAUGGCUUCAAUCAACUCCUACACAUGCUAGUGGGUUUCAACUAUUUACUGUGGCAAUGACAGGUCAUCCAGAGGAAUGGGUUCAACUACCGCAGCACAAGUAGCAGUUGAAUCGUUGUUAUCCUAAUGCAAUAACUGAGAGUAGGAGCAAGAGAGUAGGAUUGUAUCGGAAUGAACAAGGGGGUUUUCUUGCCUGGUAGAUCAACAGAGGGGGCACUGCUCCUCAGACAGGUACUCUAUAACAAUCUCCGGAGCAGGACCUAUCGAGAAGGAACGGUGUUGACAAUCAAAACACAAUCAUAUGCAAUCACAUGAUGCAUGAACAUGGCAUGUAGAUGUGAUGUUGUUUGAGCUAAUGCAACUAGCAUUCACUUGGAAGAAGCCAUUUGAACCAAGGGUUCAAAUGCAACUCCAAAAUUAAACAUUUAUAAAUGCCACUCAUGUGUUUUCACUUAUACAGUAGGUAUAAGUUGGUUUGUAAUGCAUGAAACUAGUACACAUGGAAAGAUUGCAUUUUUCUGAUAAUUUUUCAUAUAUAAAUUAUUUCAAUCUGAGCUACGGUUGAAUUUCUAUGUUUUUUUGAAGUUGAAACAAUAUUGUGGAAUUUCCUGAGUUAAAAUAAUUCCAGAAAUCGUUUAUUGCGUCAGCUUGAGGUCAACACUGCGUCAGUAGUCAACCUGGGCCAAACCUGAUGUGUGGAGGCACACGUCAGUGACACAGUGGUUAAGCCUGGGUCAAACCCGCACUGACCAGGGUUUGACUUGGCCCUAGGGCUCACGGUCAGCGGCUGGUGGGGUGGUUUAGGCUGCGGGAUUAGGCGCUAAUGACAGCCAAGUCGGCCUCGCCGGAGUUCGGCCGGCUACGACCUCGAGCCGCGGUAGUUCUUGGCCGGAGUCGCUGUUCCGCGUCCAAACGACACAGGGAGAGGAGCUACGGGGAGCUGGCGGAGUGCCGCAUGCAAUGGUGCAAAGGGUUUCACCGGAGGUGGCCCAGAACGACGACGGCGACGACGAGUGCGGCGGCCGGAGUUCGGCCAUCGGGGUUUUGAUGUUGCGGGGCACGGGGGAGGCUGCGAGUGGGUCCGCUCGACUCGCCAGAGUGCACUGAGUGCAAUGGCGAGCACGGCUCCGAGCUGCGGCGGCUGUGGCCACGACCGCGAGGAGCUGCGGCGGCGAUGGCUUUAGCCAUGGUGGAAACGAUGGCUACAAUGUGGGAACAAGGGGAGAAGAGAGGGGAAACGGGAAGAUGCUCCCGGCGAUCACGCGGAGCAGCACAGCGGGCUCAGGGAAGACCUGGAGACGGCGAAUCGAUGACGACGGAUGGCGGAGCCCGAGGAGGAAGACAAUGGCGAUGGCGGUGUUCCAGGGUGUCCCGCACCAUGCGUCUCGACGAGGAGGCGUAGCCAACAGCGGCAGGGCACUUGAGCACGACGGCGAGGCGAGAGGGAGGCUGUGGCCGUGACGGCGUGCGGCGGCCCUUUCCGGUGCGUUUAGGCAUCGCAGGAGAGAGCGAGAGAGAGGAGGGGAGAGGCGCAGGAGAGAGGGAGUGAGGCUAGGGGGAGCUGGGCGCUUCUGGCGAGGCCAGGUCGAAUAGGGGAGAGGGCAGGCAGGCAGCUGCCAUGGCGCGCAUGCGCGCAGCAUGCGGUGACCACGCAUCAUGUCCCUCUGGCGCGAGGAGGGGGACGACUGGCGCGGCCAGCUGGCUGGGCCGGCCUGCUGGGCUGCUGGGCCAGGCCAGGCUACACAGUGUUGGGCCUGUGGGCUGCAGGUAGGCGCCAGGUAAGUUUCUCCCUUUCUGUUUUGUUUAUGUUUUUUUAUUUUUCUGACAUUUGUUUUGGUUUAAUAAAAAUACUAAGCCAAUUUAUUAUCUUAUGCCAAUUUUUGCAGGAGCUAGUGGUAUUAUUCCAGAGCCCCUCAACAAAUGGCAUAAUUUUUGGACAUAUAUUAUAUAUAUAACAUAUAUAAAUCCAAUGCAAAUAAUUAUGCAUUAAUUCCAAAUGCCCAAAAUAAAUACUUAUGAGCUCCUAAAAAUAUUGGUUUGAUUUUUAUCUCUGUCCAAUAUUUUCAGAGAGCAACAAGCAUUUUCUUGGACCUUUUUGGAGCAAUUUUUAUCUGGGUCAUUUCCAGAAAUGAUUCUGAGGGAUUCACAUAUCCCCAUUUCAAAUUUAAAUGGAAUGUAAAUAUGAUGCACACAUGACUAGCUAGCCUUGAGCAGACAAGAACUAGGGAUGUGACAACUCGCCCCCACUUGAAAGAAUCUCGUCCCGAGAUUCAGGGGUCGAUGGAAAGAAAGUGGGGUACUCCAGUCGAAGACGAUCUUCUCGCUCACAAGUAUCUUCUCUCUCGGAAUGAUGAGACCACUGAACCUUGAGAAACUUGAUGUUAUGACGUCGACUGAUAUGCUCUGCUUGAUUAAGAAUGCGAACAGGGUACUCUCGAUAUGUGAGGUUAACUUGGAGAUCAAGCGUUUCGUGGUCCACUCCCCGGAUGGGAUCCGAGAAGCAACGCCUGAGUUGAGAGAUGUGGAAGACAUCAUGCACUCUGGAAAGAUGUGGGGGUAGUUCCAACUGGUAGGCAACCUCUCCUCGUUUAGCGAGAAUGCGAAAAGGACCAAUGUAAAAAGGAGCCAACUUGCUCUUGAUACCUAAACGAGGGGUACCCUUCAAAGGAGUAACCCGAAGGUAAGCUUUGUCGCCAACUUCACAGGUAAUAUCCUUAUGAUGACGAUCUUACUGGCUCUUUUGACAAGACUGCGUUGUUUUCAAGUUCUCACGAAUGAUGCGAACUUCCUCUUCUGCCUCUUGGAUCAUGUCCGGUCCAAAGAAUUGUCUUUCGCCGGUUUUUGACUAGUUCAAGGGUGUUCGACAUCUUCGUCCAUAGAGAAUCUCAAAAGGAGCUUUCUUGAGACUGGAUUGAUAGCUAUUGUUAUAAGCAAACUCGGCAAAAGAAAGACAUUUCUCCCAAUCCAUACCGAAUGAGAUAACGCAACCUCUAAGCAUGUCUUCGAGAAUUUGAUUGACCCUUUCCACCUGACCACUCGACUGACGGUGGAAAGCGGUACUGAAGGAAAGAUGGGUUCCCAUGGCAGUUUGGAAACUCUCCCGGAAAUGAGAAGUGAAAAGACUACCACGGUCUGAAUUGAUCUCUAGUGGAAUACCAUGGAGUGACACUAUUCGAGAAAUAUAUAAGUCAGCGAGCUGACUAUCAGUGAUACUCUCUCGAACAGGUAGGAAGUGCACCACUUUGGAGAGACGAUCAAUGACUACGAAGAUAGCAUUAUUCCCUCUCUUGGUCCUGGGAAAUCCGGUGAUGAAAUCCAUACCAACUUUAUCCCAUUUCCAUUCAGGAAUAGCUAAAGGCUGAAGGGUGCCAGCAGGUCUUUGAUGCUCUGCCUUAACGCGACGACAAACGUCACAGUUAGCAAUAAACUGAGCGAUUUCUCUCUUCAUCCUAGUCCACUAGAACCUCUGGCGUAGGUCCUGAUACAUCUUAGUACUACCGGGAUGAAUCGUGAGAGGAGAUUCAUGCGCCUCCUUAAGAAUCAAUUGUCGCAUAUGUUGAUUCUUGGGGACCACCAAGCGAGUCUCAAAGAAAACAACACCUCGAUCAUCCAUAGAGAAACAUCCACCAACUCCCUUCUUAAUGUUUCUCUUGAUGCGGAUAACACCCCUAUCAAACUUCUGGUCAGUAAUGAUCUGAUCCUCGAGGGUAGGUUUCGCCACCAAGGUAGAAAGGAAUCUGUGAGGAGCAAUGUGGAGGUUAAGCUUACAUAAUUCCUCAUGGAGAAGUGGUUGGCCCUGCUGCAACAUGAGAUUGUUGCAAUAGGAUUUAUGACUUAGCGCAUCAGCCAUGACAUUGGCCUUGCCUUGGGUGUGGGUAAUCCAUAGAUCAUAAUCUGAGAUCAACUCCAACCAACAUCUUUGCCUAAGGUUCAAAUCUGGUUGGGUCAAGAUAUACUUGAGACUCUGGUGAUCGGUGUAGAUCUCGCAACGCUUACCAAGAAGGUAAUGUCGCCAGGUCUUGAGUGCAUAGACUACGGCUGCAAGCUCUAGAUCAUGUGUAGGAUAAUUCUCCUCAUGUGGAUGCAACUGUCGAGAUGCAUAGGCAAUCACAUGACGAUCCUGCAUAAGAAUGCAACCUAGUCCUUGUCGUGAGGCGUCGUAGUAGAUAACAAAGUCCUUCAUGAAAUCCGGUGGCACAAGUAUGGGAGCAGAAGUCGGGCAUCUUUUCAGUUCCUGAAAAAUGUACUCACACUGUGGGGACCACUCAAACUCUUUAUCUUUCUUGAGAAGUUCCGUGAGGUGUUUGGCCACUUUAGAGAAGUUUUCAACAAAGUGGCGACAAUAGCUGGCUAGACCAAGGAGACUCCUAACUUGUUUAACAGUUUCAGGUGGAGUCCAAUCAAGAACGGCCUGAACUCUCUCGGGAUUGACAGCAAUGCCCUUACUAGAGAUUACGUGGCCUAGGUAGGUCACUUCUGAGAACCAAAAUUCACACUUGGCGAACUUGGCAUAAAGGCGGUGCUCUCUGAGUUUUUCUAACACAAGUCUAAGAUGUUCGGCAUGCUCUUCCUCGUUCUUCGAGUAAAUAAGAAUAUCAUCGAGGUAAACCACGACGAAUUUAUCUAAGUACGCCAUGAAGAUCGAGUUCAUCAAGCACGAGAAUGUGGUUGGGGCGUUGGUUAGACUGAAGGACAUGACGGUGUACUCGUACUGGCCAUAAUGAGUGAAAAAGGCCGUCUUGGGGAUGUCCCCGUUUCUGAUCUUGAUAUGGUGGUAGCCUAACCUCAAAUCCAUCUUAGAAAAGACUGAGGAUCCAGCGAGAUGAUCAUACAGGUUGUUGAUCCUGGGGAGCGGAUAUUUGUUCUUUAUCGUGACCAAAUUAACGGGCCGAUAAUCUACAACCAUCCGGUCUGUACCAUCCUUCUUCUUGACGAAGAGGACGGGGCAAGCCCAAGGAGAAGAACUAGGACGGAUGAAACCCUUUUGCAAGGACUCAUCAAGUUGUUUCUUAAGCUCGGCUAGAUCUAAGGGUGCCAUCUUGUAAGGUCUCCUAGAGAUUGGAGCGGUUCCUGGAAUAAGAUCUAUGACGAACUCUACAUCUCUGUCAGGAGGAACACCUGGCAGUUCCUCUGGAAAGACAUCCGGGAAGUCACGGACUACCGGUAUAUCUUCAAGGUCUGGAAGAGGGUUGGCAUUAAGGGAAUAGAGCUGACGCUUUGCAACUCAAGUGGAGACAGUGACUAUCUUGCCAGAUGGGUGUGUAAGAUGAACAAACCUGGUAUAACAAUCAAUCUUGGCAUGAUGAGUUGUCAUCCAGUCAAUACCCAAGAUGAUGUUAAUAUCUGAGGACUUGAGGGCUACAAGUGAUGCAAGGAAUACCAGUCUAUCAACAAAGAUUUCAUUACCAUAGCUGAUUGAUAAGAACAUUUCAUACACAUCUUUUGGCACUCAAAUAUGUGGUUUAUUGAGAUAUGACCAUCAAUUCUUGCUGUAAAAUAUUGAAUAUUUGCAUGAAAAUCAUAUAAAGAGUCAUUUACUAGUCAUUUGUUUCUUUUGCAGAUAAGUGCGAGAAGGCACUAUAAACUUCAAGAUCCGGACUAAGUGGCUAAGAGAACGAAGAAGAGGAGGAAGAAUGGACUUGUGCGAGAAGAAACGAAGUAACCAGGGGGCCAACUAUUGAAGAGAGGAUCAUCUUGUGCUAAAAGUAAAGAAGGAGGGGGGCCAAAUUUAAAAAGUGACAGAUCGGAGGAGGGGAUCAAAUCCCUAGCCUCCUCCUUCGUUCCCCUUUAGGCCUGGCAUCUCACCUCUCUCCCUCACCCUUCCUUCUCCACCACCGGCCGCGAUCGCGGCCAGGCCGGCGUGGCGGCGCGCCACUGUGCCAUACCAUUAGCACCAUCCACUAUUCCAUCGGCACCACAGCGCCACCACCUCCCACCCGCUGCUCCAUCACCCAAACACCACCACUUCCUCCACCGUCACUCAGUGCUAGCCACGACCAUCUCCUUACACCCAGCGCCAGCAACCUCCAUCCACCAGUGCAAUCUCGCCACCUCUCCCUGCCGCUUCCCCUUGCUACUCAUGCCCCGGACCAGACAAGGGGAUCGUGGAGUCUGAUCCCUAGCGAGCUCCCCUACUACUGCUCCUUUUAUCUUCAACCUGCUGCUGCUCGCCCACAACCCUCUCUGCUGCUUCUCUCUCUCUGAAUCCCUGCCGUCGUCCUUCUUCUCCUUCACCUGCUGCUGCUCCCUUGCCCCAGAUCUUUGCUGCUUAUUCUCUCAACCUCUUGCUGCUGAUCUCUUCUUCCCAAAACUGCUGCAGUUCUUCUUCUCUGUGUCCCUACUGCUGCACCUUCUCUGAAUCCCACCUGCUGCUAUUUCUAUGAACUUGAGAUUUGCAAGACUUUGAAAUGUCCAGAUUUGAACUAGUAGUGAUAUGCUUGAUAUAUAUGUUUAGUCCAGAGACAUGUUGUUCUUGCUUAUUUUGUAGCUGGGUGUGAAUUAGUACUGAUGACACUCUGUUAUGUGUUUGUGUUCACUAGUUAAGUUGAGCACCUAUGUACUACUUGUUGUAGAAACUUGCUACUUUUUAUUGUCCUUGUGCUAGCCAUGUACCUGUGAUACAAGUGUUUGUGAUAUGAUAUAUAUUUGUUUUGUCCUAUAUACUUGUUUAUUCCCUCUGUUGAAUGUUAAAUAGUUAUACAUAUGUUCAUGUUUUUUCAAUUCCUUAGCCGUUGAUGUAUGCUUGUAUUAGCAUUUGUCUCAAGUAAAACGAAACUACUAAAAAUAAGUGAAGUGAAAUCUGAACCUCCCUUUGCUAUUUUGCAUUUCUUUUGUCAACGAUCUUCCGGAACAACCUUGUUAGUUUAGAUUUUAUUUUCUUGCGAUCAUCUUCUGAAUUGUCACCUAGCUUUAGCCGAGCAUAGUCGCUGUCGCCUAGUCCUUGUGGGGAACACGACACUCACAGUUUGGGCGUAAAACCCCGCUGUACUUACAAUUGGUCACUGAUUCUCGUAGUUUACCAUCUAGACCUCGGGGUUCGGAUUUCAAGCGGGGUUGGCAUAUCACAAAAUGACAUGUCGUGCAAACGAGCAUAGCCUCCAGAAAUGAAAGAGUGAGAUGCUCCUGUAUCGAACAGAAUCGAUGUUGGAUGAUAGUUGACAAGGAGUGUACCAAGAACGACAUCCGGAUCAUCAUGAGCGUCUUUAGCUGAGACGUGAUGCACACGUCCAUGUUCAGUGGGGGCUGACUUGACACUGAUCAUCUUGCGUGAUGGCUUACCACAGCCAACAGACUUCUCAGGCGGGGGUGGUGCAUAUCUGGCCUGAGAGCAGUCAUGUGCAUAGUGUCCUGGCUUCCCGCAUGUGAAGCAAGUCCCUGAAGUUGGAUGUGGACCCGCACUGACAAGCGGUCUACCAGUAGGCUUGGGUGGAACAUACGACUCAGCUGGGUGAGGCACCACAUAAGAUGGCCUCGGUGAAUAUCCAGAAGGAAGAGCGGAGUUUGGAACCCAAAUCCGGCGCUUCUGAGAACCAGAACUGGAGGAGGAUCCCAAAUCACGGGUGUGCUUACAAGACUCCUCGUAAGUGAGCUUAGCUAUUUUUGCAUUAAUGGCCUUGUUCACAAGGGCCUUGAAUGUAUCACGAUGAUGCAGGUGGAGAUCACGGCGCAACUUGGGGUUGAGACCCUUCCAGAACCUAGCCUGCUUCUUGGCGUCCGUGGACACCUCUUCUGUGGCAUAACGGGCAAGGUUCUCAAACUUUCUACUGUAAGCAUCAACAACCAUCUUACUCUGGGUGAAACUACAGAACUCUUCUCUCUUGCGAUCAAUGAUGGCCUGAGUAAUGUGAUGCUCACGAAAAGCCUCAGUGAAAUCUCUCCAGGUAGGAAUCUGGCCAACUAGAAGCAUAGCCUCAUAGUUCUGCCACCAAAGACUAGCAGGACCUUCCAGAUGGUAUGUGGCAUAGAUGACCUUGUCAUCUUCAACUACGUUCACGGAACGCAGCUUAUGAGUGAUGCCCAGAGCCAGUCAUCUGCAUCGACUGGCUCAAUGGAAUGAUGAAAGGUGGGUAGGUGCAAGCGAAUGAAGUCAUGGAUGGUUGCAGACCCUUUGAUCCGAUGUGCGGUGUUCUCCUCGAUACGUGACAACAAGCGGUUAGACCCACGCUUGUUCCUCUCCAUCUCUAACAUGAACUCUGUCAACGAAGGUUGAUCAGGAGGAUCCUCAUCCCUACCAUCUCCGUGGUUCUGGCUACGAGCAACAGAACUUUGUUUAAUUGAUGACAUCCUGAGAAACGAAACCAAGGACAGAAUCAGCAUCAACUAUAGACUCUAUAAUGUAGGACAAAGAAAUUAGUAUCUUUCGAACUCCUAGGGCAAUUCAGGCAGCAUAACGGCGGUAAAAUGCUCAGAAUGAGACAUCCUACCAAAAAUGGGGUAGUACAACAACUCAACAUCACCACUCAAGGUUCUGGGAUAAUGCUAAACAGGCUACAACGGAAGUACUCGAAACUGGGAUAUGACUCUGAUCAACCAAUCCUAUGGGACUACAGAGUAGUAACACGUGAUCCUGAUAGACGGAAGAGAAAGCCUAGUUCCUUAACCCCGUAGGAAAGGUAGGAUGACUCAGAUCAGAAGGGCAUGAGGUUAAGGAGUAAAAAGAGCCUUAUGUUCCUUCCCACAAUCAAUUCCCUUACAUAACUAAAGAAUUUCUAGACUCAACUUUGACCAGUUUGGCUUGGUAAUCCUACAGGCAGUCAGACCCUGAUACCAAAGCUGUCAGGACCCCGAUUCUAUGCCACACCGGUCUAGCAUGUAACACCUCAUAUCACUUUGCGGCCUCACGCACGGUAUUCCCACGGGUGUCGCCUUACCAUGCCCGGGACCGUUUGCGCCUUUUGGCACACGUUUAUGAUAGUGUCGCUAGCAUCCAUAUGACAAGAACCCGGGCUGACAUGGCUAGUCAUGAACCCGAAGUGGCACUAACUUAUAAGGACAUGCAUACAUGACCCAGCAUCGAAUGUGUCGGUCAUCAGCAAGUGAAUCCGGGCUGUAGCAGCUGGGCUAGCAGGACUUCGGAGGAUCCGGGCUGUAGCAGGCUAACAAGACUCCGGUAGACACCGCAUGACAUUCCCCCGAAGGGACAGACACAGGAACGGAGAAGGACACAUGCCGGCCAUCCUAAGUGUUCCGGAGCAGUAGCAAGCUACUAGGGCUCAGUGGAAGCACUAGGGUACAUUUCCCGGUAAGAGAGGCUACUAAGGAUAAAUAACUAGAUAGUCAGAUCCCACACAUAGCAAUACACAUUACACGUACGCAUAACAUGCAAGUAUGUGCUGUACAACAUGGCAUCACAGCAUAACUCAACAAUUCAUAUAGAUAAGGCUCAAAGAGCCAUCAUAGCACUUAUUACAAACAGGGGUCACAUGGCCCAACAUUCAGAGCAAACAAGCAACAAGCGGGAGCAUUACAUGUCUGAGUACAGACAUCUACAAAUGAAAAGGCUGAAGAGCCCGACUAUCUACAACAUCCUAACAAGACCAUAGCUGAGGUACAAGCUACUCGUCGAAGUCCACGAGAACACUAGUAAGACCAAAGUCCCCGCUGCAAAAACAUAAAUAAAGCAACAUGAGUACAAAGGUACUCAGCAAGACUUACAUCAGAUCCUAUCAUACAUGCAUUUGUAUCAAGAGGGUAAUGUGGGGUUUAGUUGCAGCAAGCCAGCUUUGACUCAGUGGCUAUCCUGUUCUAUGACUAUGAGAACUUCUUUGAGGUGAGAUGGCGCACACGAGUCCACUAAACACCACACCAUACACUACUAUGGAUUCAUCCCCGUCUCCCUAUGAGAAGGCCAUCCAUAGCACUCACACUUGUCUUGAGCAUUUUAGAGUAUCCACUUCAAGUUGUCUAUGUACCACGUAAGCAUCCAAGAAGUCCAUAACUGUGGACCCGACUAUUCGAAUAGAUCAUGUUAACCCUGCAGGGGUGUACUUCUUCACACACGCUCUCGCCACUUACCGCCAUGUACACAUCAUGUAUCUCGGCAACCUUCAAGCGGAAGCCUGGCGAGGGUGUCGGCCACGACCUGACUAACCACACAAGACUCUAAUCCAGGUUCAUCGCCUAUUCGGGUUCCAUCCGUAAGGAGAUCCGGUCGGGGUUUCACUCACGGCCCCAAACAAUGUGUGCAGGGUUCCCGAGCCCACCAUCCGGGUUCCACUCUGUACACCAGGCCACGUGUGCCUAGUCUGCCCCGAGCCCACCCUGUCGGUGCCACUUGGUAGAAAAAUAACACUAUCUACAAACACCAGAAACUAAUUGCGACUCCUGGACAGAGAUCAAGUUGGUUAAUAAGUCGAGAGGGGCACUUAAGCAUUCCAAUGCAUGGUAGUAGCUAGUCAUUGGACAACAUACACAGAACUCAGUGCUUAAGGAUGGUUCCAGUGAGACAACCCACCAUGUACUCCUACAUGGCCUCUCACCGCUACCUUUAGCAAAUCGUGUUCACACACUUAACUCUCAGCAUCAGAACAUAGAGCACUGCACUCCAAUUCAUUCCCAAUGAAUCAGACCUGACACACUCUAAGCAAUAGCAGGCAUGGCAUGAUAGGAACACAACAAUGGCUUCAAUCAACUCCUACACAUGCUAGUGGGUUUCAACUAUUUACUGUGGCAAUGACAGGUCAUGCAGUGGAAUGGGUUCAACUACCGCAGCACAAAGUAACAGUUGAAUCAUUGUUGUCCUAAUGCAAUAACUGAGAGCAGGAGCGAGAGAGUAGGAUUGUAUCGGAAUGAACAAGGGGGUUUUCUUGCCUGGUAGAUCAACAGAGGGGGCACUGCUCCUCACACAGGUACUCUGUAACGGUCUCCGGAGCAGGACCUAUCGAGAAGGAACGGUGUCGACAAUCAAAACACAAUCAUAUGCAACAACAUGAUGCAUGAACAUGGCAUGUAGAUGUGAUGUUGUUUGAGCUAAUGCAGCUAGCAUUCACUUGGAAGAAGUCCAUUUGAACCAAGGGUUCAAAUGCAACUCCAAAAUUAAACAUUUAUAAAUGCCAUUCAUGUGUUUUCACUUAUACAGUAGGUAUAAGUUGGUUUGUCAUGCAUGAAACUAGUACAGAUGGAAAGAUUGCAUUUUUCUGAUAAUUUUUCAUAUAUAAAUUAUUUCAAUCUGAGCUACAAUUGAAUUUCUAUGUUUUUUUUAAGUUUAAACAAUAUUCUGGAAUUUCCUGAGUUAAAAUAAUUCUAGAAAUCAUUUAAUGCGUCAGCUUGAGGUCAGCGUUGCGUCAGCAGUCAACCUGGGUCAAACCUGACGUGUGAGGGCCACACGUCAGUGACAAAGUGGUUAAGCCUAGGUCAAACCUGCAUUGACUAGGGUUUGACUUGGCCCUGGGGCUCACGGUCAGCGGCUGGUGGGGUGGUUUAGGCUGCGGGAUUAGGCGCUAAUGACAGCCACGUCGGCCUCGCCCGAGUUUGGCCGGCGACGACCUCGAGCCACGGCGGUUCUUCGCCGGAGUCGUUGUUCCGGCGUCCAAACGACACAGGGAGAGGAGCUACGGGGAGCUGGCGGAGUGCCGCAUCCAACGGUGCAAAGGGUUUUGCCGAGGUGGCCCAGAACGACGGCGGCGGCGACGAGUGCAGCGGCCGGAGUUUGGCCAUCGGGGUUUUGAUGUUGUGGGGCACGGGGAAGGCUACGAGCGGGUCCGCUCGACUCGCCAGAGUGCACUGAGUGCAACGGUAAGCUCGGCUCCGAGCUACAGUGGCUGUGGCCACGACGGCGAGGAGCUAUGGUAGCGAUGGCUUCGGCCAUGGUGGAAACGACGGCUACGACGCGAGAACGAGGGGGAGAAGAGAGGGGAAACGAGGAGAUGCUCAUGGCGAUCACGCGGAGCAGCACAGCGGGCUCGGGGAAGACCUUGAGACGACGAAUCGACGGCGGCGGACGGCGGAGCCCGAGGAGGAAGACGAUGGCGAUGGCAGCGUUCCAGGGCGUCCGGCACCGUGCAUCUCGACGAGGAGGCGUAGCCCAUAGCGGCGGGGCACAUGGGCAUGACGAUAAGGCGAGAGGGAGGCUGUGGCCGCGUCGGCGUGUGGCGGCGCUUUCCGGUGCGUUCGGGCGUCUAGGGAAAGAGCGAGAGAGAGGAGGGGAGAGGCACAAGAGAGAGGGAGUGAGGCCAGGGGAGCUGGGCGCUUCUGGCGAGGCCAGGUCGAAGAGGGGAGAGGGCAGGCAGGCAGCUGACUCUCUGGCGCGAGGAGCGGGACGACUGGCGCGGCCAGCUGGCUCGGCCGGCCCGCUGGGCCAGGCCAGGCUACACAGUGCUGGGCCUGUGGGCUGCAGGUAGGCGCCACGUAAGUUUCUCCCUUUCUGUUUUGUUUCUGUUUUUUUAUUUUUCUGACAUUUGUUUUGGUUUAAUAAAAAUACUAAACCAAUUUAUUAUCUUAUGCCAAUUUUUGCAGGAGCUAGUGGUAUUAUUCCAAAGCUCCUCAACAAAUGGCAUAAUUUUUGGACAUAUAUUUUAUACAUAACAUAUAUAAAUCCAAUGCAAAUAAUUAUGCAUUAGUUCCAAAUGCCCAAAAUAAAUAUUUAUGAGCUCCUAAAAAUAUUGGUUUGAUUUUUAUCUCUGUCCAAUAUUUUCAGAGAGCAAUAUGAGCAUUUUCUUGGACCUUUUUGGAGCAAUUUUUAUCUGGGUCAUUUCCAGAAAUGAUUCUGAGGGUUUCACAUAUCCCCAUUUCAAAUUUAAAUGGAAUGUAAACAUGAUGCACACAUGACUAGCUAGCCUUGAGCAUACCAGAACCAGGGAUGUGACAUUUUUACACCCAACCAUUUGAUCAAUUGUGCAUUAAAUAUGUCCUAGUAUUUUAGAAAAUUGAUUUGUUACAAUUUUGCAACAAAUAUAUGGUAGGUCCUUCACAAAAAAACCUCAUUUCGGGCACUCGAAAAAUGGAAAAUGAAUUUUCCGUGCAAAGAAAAUGAAAACUCCCUUUGGAAACAUUGUUUGGAAUUCCAAGAUGCACCCUUGUGCGCAAUAUGAGAUCAUUUGAAUAAACUAUGCCAAGAAUGUGACCAUAAGAUUGAUCAUUUGGUUUGAAAGCCAUGAAUCUUCACGCAUGAUAGCUCAUUUCUGAGAACAUAUUUUAAAAAUAAUUACCGUAUUACAAGUUUAUUAUUUUUCCUGGAAACAUGGUCACAUAUGAUGACACAAUGCGAAGGUUUUCCAAUUUUUUAAUAUUUUUUAAUAUUUUAUGCCCGUUUCAAAAUGCGGGCAAAACGACGGGCUUGACGGUUCCUAGCUAGUGGUUGAAUCUUGGAAUUUUUUUGGUGUUUCUCUGAUUAAAUAGAUACUUAUGUAUCUAGAAAUGAUUUUUGGAAAAAAUAAAGAGCAAAUUACGAGGUAGCUACAGUUCAAAUUUGACCCGCUUCCAACUGAAUUGGCGGGAAUUUGUCUUUUUUACGAGAGGUGGAUUAAAACUUUUUACACCCAAACAUUUGGUCAAUUGUGCAUUAAAUAUGUCCUAGUAUUUUAGAAAAUUGAUUUAGUACAACUUUGCAACAAAUAUAUGGUAGGUCCUUCACAAAAAAACCUCAUUUCGGGCACUCAAAAAAUGGAAAAUUGUUUUUUCGUCUGAAGAAAAUGAAAAAUUCCUUAGCCAACAUUGUUUGCCAUUCCAAGAUGCACCCUAUACACUAGAUCACAUAUAAUGACACAAUGCAAAGGCUUUCCAUUUUUUUGAUUUCUUUAAUUCUUUAUGCCAAUUUCAAAACGCUGUUAAAACCAUGGGCAUAACCGUUCGUAGCUGCGGGUGAAAUCUUACAAAACUCAUAGUGUUCUGCGAUGAAAUAUAUACAUGUGCACCUAAAAAUGUUUUUUGGAAAAAACAAUGAGCAAACUAUGAAGUUGUUGUAGUUUAAAUUUGACCCGGUUCCUCCUGAUUUGGUACAAGUUGGUUUAAAUGGCCAAAAAAAGGCUAGAACGAUCGGAAAUGCAUACAAGUUGGUUAUCAUCCAUAAGCUGUGGUAUAGCUUGAGUGAAAAUUUUAAUGGUUCCAUUUUGCAAAAUAUUAUUGAUAGUUGCUUCAUAAACCCCUUUGUUUUUAGCACUUAGGGACUAUAUUUUAAAUUACACCCAGAAUCUCCAACCAAUCAGGACAUCUCCCCCGGAUCACCCUACCUUAGGCGAUCUGAACCGUCCGAUCGUCCCGGAUCCAACGACACACUUGACCCCCUCACCGUCUCACCCAACUAGCCCUAACACAACCCGCACCACUCGUCCUCUAGCCCCCCUCUCUCCUACGCACCCACAGCCGCCGCCCUCUCCCUCCCUCAGAUCUCGAUCCGCCGCCGCCCCAAAACCCACCCCCCCUGUCGACGACCCUCACCGUAUACGUGGUGCUGUGGGGCCGAGGCUGGGCCGACCUGAGCGCCCUACUCCUAGCGACCGCCGUCGCCUCCUAGAUCCUAUUCCACGACGCCUCCGGUUACACGGCCGUGUCGCUGGCCGCCGACAUGCUCUUCCUCCUCCUGGUCGUGCUGUACGCGUUGUCCAGGGCCGCGCGCCUCCUCGGCCACCCUACGCCGCCCAUCCCCGACCUGCAGCCGGUGGCCGACGAGCUCGACGCCCUCAUCCGCUCCGUCCUAGCCGGCAUCUCCUCCGCCUUCCGCCGCGUCGCGCAGGGCCAGCUCGGCUCCGGGUGCGUCUUCGCCUGACUCAGCUGCUCAAGGAACCAUGAGCCUUCCUCUCCGGCCCCUUCCGCGCCAUCAUGGACGCCGCCGAGCUCCUCCUCCACAAGAUUCGCUACCAGGUACUCCUACUUGAAGUAGUGAAUGUUCAGACCCUCCUCUGUUCUCUGUACUGUACAAAAAAAGGCUCAACAUUUCUUCAGAGUUACUGUAAAUGUUCUUUUACAGUUGAUGAUCUUACAGUUGGUUUGCUUCGGCUGUGGUUUGAUUCAGAGACUCCAAUCCUCUGUUGUGGUUGCAGGGCGACCAUGCCGACAACACCGUGGUGCUGGUGGUGCCCUACGCCUGCUGCGGCACACUCAUCGGCAAAGGAGGCACGCUCAUCAAGUAUGCUCUGCUCUGCUCCCCUUUUCUCCCUGUUGGCUUUGCUGAAAUGCAAUGCGGGUGGCCCUGCCUUUUAUCUGUAUAUAUCUGCUCCAACAGUGCUGCUGGCUGCUGCUGUGCAUUCCAGCUUCAGUUCUACACUUCUACUAUUUGGAACGGGAGCAUAGCCUAGCCGGAUUUGAUGAUAUCUCUUCUUCAUGUUUCCUCUUUUUUUUGUUUCUACUUUCCAGUUGUUCCAAGUUUGAUGAUGAUAUCUUCUCCCCUUUUUGUUUUGUUCAUCAUCUAGGUCGUUAGCUGAAGCGACAAAGGCUGGAAUCACGGUCUCGCACCACCGAGUCUGCUACAGUUUCAAUGACAGACUGGUUAAGAUCACUGCUUUGAUUCCUUGCGGCGUCGCGCCUCCCGCCUUUGGUGUUGUUCUGGGUCUGCCCGUGCCAGAUUCGUGGCCUCGCAUGUUUAAUGGGGUGCCUUACUGUAGUCUAGAUAAUCAGCACAUGAAUGGACUGUUAAUUAAUCCGUUAAUGUACACAAGGAGUUUGUUUAAUCUAGAAAUUGUACAAAUCUGCAUCAUGCAAACUUACUUCAGGUUGUUACAUAAGGAAGGAGCUCGGGGUUCAGUUCCAAGCAAUAGGGGUUGGGUUGAUUCCUCUAGAAAUAGUCAGAUGAAUCAUUGCUGUAAUUUGUAAAGUUGUCAAGGAAAGUAGUUUAGCCAAAAUAUUUAUUGUGGGCAUUCUGUUAGCUAGUGUGCAUUGCCAAGUACAACUAUUCUACUUUGUAUGGAAUCAUCUCACUAUUCUGAACAUUUGAAACUUGCUAUGUGCAGGGUGACUAGUGAUGGGGCACGCCAAGCAGCAUCAGGGGAAGGGGGUCUCCUGCUCGAGGAGGCGAAGGAGUAGGGGCGCACCCAGCCGGCAGCCCCGUCCUGCUUGAGGGGGAGGGGCAAGAGGUGUCUGCUCCUCUGCUUCCAUUGCGACCGCGGCAGGUAGCUCCUCCAUCUCCCUCCCCCUCUUCUCGUGCUCACUACUUCUGAUGUUAAGUUGAUGAAUAUGUGAUGCACUUGUGCCAAGGAAUUUUAGAGGGAUCUGUAUGAACAAGUCAUGUUUUUAUUUUAUUUUAUUUAGGUUGUUAGUUACAAAACAGAGAGAGAAGAUGAGCUCCUGCUUGGAUUUUUUUUUCUGCGAGCACAUGAUUUGUAUGUAUGCAAUCAUCAUCUUGCGUGUGUGAGCUGAUUCCUUGCUUGGGCCAAGUGUUAGUGUCGCUUUGUUGUGGUGGUGCUCGUCUAGCCAUUGCUUUGUUGCUGAUAAUUAGGUGCUAAAUAAUGCUGCAGGUUUAUUAGGAUGUGGCUGAAUCCAUUGGAUGUCCUUCGUGGACUUGCUAUCAAUACUCGUCUCAUGUUUUGUUUCCUUUCUGGACAUGUUACGGUUCAAGUGUUGCUCCUGUUUAGUACUAAGUGCUUAACUUAACUAAGCUUGAGCUACUAAAACCCACUCUCAAAUUAAUGAAACUCCUGUUUUACGAAACUUCAAUGUUGAGCUCCUCUCCUCGCUGAGCCGUGGCCGUCGACUUUCAUUUGUCCACCACCACUCCAGCUACCUUCUUGUGUAAUCAAAUUUUGCUCGCUUAUGUGUAUAUGUAUGAGGCUGGGUAGUUCAACUCUAGUUUUCUUUCUAACUCAUUCAUAUAUAUGGUGGAAGUUGUGCAGGUUCCAUGGUGCCAAGUGGCCUCUGGCCAUCUUGAACUGGAACUCCAGUAACAAGUAGAUGUUGCUGUUGUACUCAAUAUUUGAAGUUGCUUUUUUCUUUUUUGAGAGAAGUGUAUUAGGUUGAUGAGAUUAAUUAGCUCAGUUGGCUAAAGUAGCAACAACAGCAGCCACACUUUGCCAUCCACUUUAUAGCUGGACUGUACUUACAUGCUUAGUAUAACCUUGUACGUGUAGCUGGACUUUACUUACAUGCUUAGUAUAACCUUGUACGUGGUCCGUUUAAUUUAUAAAUGGUUAUAUGUUGCUGCUGCAGGAGCAACGUUGCUGAUGGUGACGAGUACGUGAUGGUGGCUAGUGUGGUGGACGACCCGACCAAACCAAUGAUUCAAGGCUUCUCCUGCUGCUGCUGCAUGUCUUCAUCAACUUAGUUCUUCUACAGGGAGAGAUAAAUUCUUCACUUGUUCACUGUGUAAUCUGCAGAUUACUUCCAUUAAUCACCUAGUGCUCCUGUUAGUGAGAUUCAUCUAGUAUUUCUUUUUGCAAAGAAUGCAAUGGUCUGGAGUACUUGAUCAUGGCCUGAUGGAACAUGUCGUUACAGCAGCUAGAAGCAAUCCAUUUUGUUAAAUGCAUUCUGGUUAGGAUUUGGUCAUGGCAGCACCUUGCUAUUUUCUUUUCUUUAAAUCUGGUUGCAAGUUUACUAUUUUUCCAGAACCAUCAUCUUACAUUUUGGGCAUCGGGCAUUGAAAUUUAGGCAUUUAUGUAUAAUUUUUGUUCUGGAUGUGUCCUAUGCAAACAUUACUAUUAAUUGUCAAGUUGAUUCUAAAAUAUCUCAUUAACUAAAUUUUAGAUGGUGAUUUCUAGAUUUAGUACCAAUUUAUUGUUGGCCUGGCCUAUGCUCAGUACCUUGCUCUAUACCAAUUUAUUGCAUUAUUCUGUUAUUUACGGUUAAAUAUGCUAUCAUUAACUUUGAGAAAAUGUUAUGUUUUUGCUGAUUAGUGGCAGUACAUCUUUGCUUUACUAUUCCUAGCAGCUGCAGUUCAUCUACCAUAAACAUGUUGUGUACAUUCUGAACCCCCAAACAUGACACAAGUGAUAUGUAUAUGCAACAGGGAAUCGUCAACUUGUACAGUUUGUUUACUGGAAUGUAACUUGUACAAUUUUUACUUGAAUAUGUUCAGUUAUGAAGUUGUGUAGUUUUUUUUUCUCAUCAGUUCUAAACUGCAGUACUUUACUGAAUUGUCGAUGAUGUUGAAUGAAUCUAGCUUGUUGGGUUCAGUCUCUUGUUUAGAGUAAAUUCAAGUCGGAAGAUGUUCAAAGAAGCUCCAAGACAUUCUCUUAUAUAGCAAGUUAUGUAAUAAUAGCGAGUUAUCUGGGAAUUUAAUGUAUCUUCUCUCUGUUUGUGAAUGAAAUAGUAAUUAUGUAUGUGAAUUAAUGUAUCUUCUCUUUGUUUGUGAAUUUCAUGUAUGUUUCAGAAUUACAAUUUCUGUUUCAUAUGAAAUAGUAAUUAUGUAUGUGAUUUGAAAAUGUGUGCAAUGGAAACAUGACUCAUGCAACCCACUUAUCAAAAUAAUUUGAGCACAUUUGAAAUUUCUGAUGUGUGGGACCAAUGUAUGAUAAUUUGGGACAAAUGUAAAACAGUGGAAAAUAAAAUGGCAAAAAAUAAAAGAUCAUAUGCUGUAAAAGGCCACAUCUAGAAAUAAAAAGGCCGAAUUGCUGGGCCAACCCAUGUAGCUAGCAAAAAUUAAUAGGAAAAAUAAAUAUUAAAAAGGCCGAAUUAAUGGGCUCGGCCCAUAUAAACACCGAAUUGGACGGGGCUGAUUCUUGUGCCACAUCAGAUUGCCACGUCGGAUGCCUACGUGGCUUGGGGAGGCUGCUAGUGAGCAAAAUAAAACAGUAGGCAUAUUUUGGUCGUAAAUGUCUACGACCUUCUCACAGUGAAGGUCGUUAAUUUGAGUUUACGACUGCUAGCUUUUGACCAUCUGUUUUUGAUCACAAAAAUGUCACAAAUGGAAAAUAAUGACCAUUCAGUGACCAAUAGUCAAGGUCACAAGUUGACAUAUUUCUUGUAGUGCCUUUUCGUUACCGGUGUAGGAUUCCAUCUUACCCCGGAGUUCUGAUAACCAUCACUCUUCAUGUCCUUUCCCUCGGUGUAGAAUGUGUGGCCGUUGAUAUCGUACGCCUCAUACGUCAUCAGGUUGUGCUCGGCACCCUGUGACAAGGCGAAUAUGAGUUGUUCUUCCGCGGAAGAACCCUCAUGUAAAGGGUACAACAGAAGCUUCUCCUUGAACCAACGCGUGAAACAUGAGUUGUGCUCUUUGAUUAUAUCUCCGUCCGUCCUCUGUUGGCCUCGGUCGUUGCACGUCUUCUCAAUAAAGGUUUUGUGCUCUACCACCCAAGGAUGGACCACGUCUAUGUGUUGUAGCGUGACUAGGUUUGCUCAUUCAAAGUCGGCGAGUCGACCCUCGAAGUCGACAUGCAUUUCGCGGUGACCCUCACGGUGAUCCCAUCCAGCGAGCCUGCCGAGGUGCCUGUUGACGGGCAGACCAAUGGGGUUCUUGAUGCCUAGAUAAUUCAUGCAGUAGGAGAUGCACUCUUCGGUCAGAAAGCCCCCGGCUAUACUUCUCUCUGGAUGUGACAUGUUGCGAACAUACCUUUGAUGACACCGUUCAUCCUUUCGAACGACAUCAUGCUGUGCAGUAACGUUGGCCCGAGUUGGAUGAUAUCCUUCACGAUAUGGACCAGCAGAUGCACCAUAACAUUGAAGAAUGCGGGCGGGAAGUACAUCUCAAGCUCGCAUAGUAUCACCACGAUCUCUUCCUGUAGGCUUCUGAGUUGCCUCACGCCAACCGACUUCCGAGAUAUGACGUCGAAAAAGUUGCAUAGGCCAAAAAGCGUUUCACGGACGUGCGCGUCCAUGAUCCCAUGGAUUGCAACUGGAAGUAUCUGUGUCAUCAACACGUGACAAUCGUGAGACUUCAUCCCGCUGAACUUCUACUUCGCUGAGUCUAGGUAUCUGCUUAUUUUCCCCGCGUAACCAUAAGGAAGUUUUACUCCUACGAGGCAGGUAAAAACUUCUCGAUCUCCUCCUGACUUAGAGUGAAGCACGCGGGAGGGAAGUCAUUUUCGAUCUUCUUGGCCUUUUUGCCUUUGCGACGACUUUCCGUGUCCUUCGCCUCAUCAUCAUCAUCAUCAUCAUCAUUAUUAGCGUGAAGCUCCUCCCUGAUGCCCAUUGAUUUCAAGUCUGCCCUUGCUUUCGGCCCAUCUUUGCUCCUCUCUGGCAUGUUGAGCAGGGUACCAAGCAGAUUCUCGCACACAUUCUUCAUGAUAUGCAUGACAUCAAGGCUGUGAGGCACACGGAGGAUCUUCAAGUAUGACAAGUCCCGAAAAACAGACCUUAUUUUCCAUACCUUCAGCAGCAGCUCUGGCACCUUUCACUUCUUUCCCGGUCCGGGCACUCUUUCCAAUUUUUCAACAACUCGUCUAUUUCUUCACCGCUCCUCGUACACGGGCGUCUUCGGGGUUCGGUUUCACCAUCGAACAGAGUCUUGCAUUUUCUCCAUCAGUCAUCGUCGUGAACGCACCUUCGAUGUCCCAUGAACAUGGUUUUCGAAGACCCGGGAUCUCUAUCUAGCUGGCGAUACAUUGUGCCAUCCAUGCACCUGACGCAUCCAAAAAAUCCGUGGACCACCUGCCCCGCAACAUAUUCGUAACCGAGAUAGUUGUGCACCGUCAUGAGCAGUGCGACUCUCAUAGGGAAAUUUUCUUUCUCUGUGGCGUCCCACGUAUUGGCUGGCGUUUUCCACAGCGUGUCUAUCUCCUCUUUCAGCAGCCCCAGAUACAUAUUGAUGUCGUUCCCUAGUUGUUUCGGCCCUUCAAUUAGCAUACACAUGUGGAUGUACUUCCUCUUCAUGCACAACUAGGGGGAAGGUUGUACAUCCACACAAACACAGGCCAGGUGCUAUGUGUGCUUCUCUGGCUGCCAAACGGAUUGACUCCACGGUGCUCGCGCCCAGCACGAUGUUCCUUGGAUCGUCCCCAAAUUCUGGGUGUUAGAAGUUCGACGCUUGCCACUGGCUCGCAUCCUUAGGGUGACUCAGCAUCUUGUAUUUUUUAUUUAUCUCCGGAUCAUUUCCGUCAUCUUCUUGCUUCUUCUCCUCGCUAUCCGCGUGCCAACGCAGGAGCUUUUCUAGAUUAGGGUCCGCGAAAUACCGCUGCAGACGAGGAGUGAUCGGAAAGUACCACGCCACUUUUCGAGGAGCUUUCUUCCUCUUCUUGUAUCGAGUGACGUCGCACACCGGACAUAUGGUAGACUUCGCAUGCUCGUCCCGAUAAAUGAUGCAAUUGUUCAUGCACACAUGGUAUUUCACGUGCGGUAAAUCCAGAGGACACACGAUUUUCUUCGCCUCCUCGAAACUGGUCGGGCACUUGUUCCCCUUGGGAAGACGUUCGUGCUAGAAUGACAUGUUCUCGUCGAAGCAUGCGUCGGUCAUUUUGUGUUUUACCUUCAUCUCUAGAGCCAUGAGCGUUACUUUCAGGCGGGUAUCCUCGGGUCUGCAUCCUUCAUACAAUGGAGUAACCGCGUUAUCCGCCUUCUUGAGAAGCAGCUCUUGAAUAUGAGUGUCCUGCACCCAGCCCAUCAAUGGUCCAUCGUCGUCUGCUCCGGAUUCUUCAUCUUCAUGAUCAUGCCCUUCAUCUGCUCCGGCAUCUUCCUCAUCAUCAUGCCCAACAUCUUCUACAUGAUGACUGUGUACUGCAUCUACUUCGUGAUUAUGUCCUAGAGAUUCUUCGUCUUCUCGCCCGCCCUCGCCGCGGUUGUCUUGCUGCCCUUCCUCAUUUCUUGCCCGGCCCCCAUGGACGACUUCAUAAUCAUCUUCAUCACCUUGCCACCGACAGCCAUCCAUGAAACCAUGCAAGAGCAGGUGGUCCUGCACCUGUACGGAAUCCGGGUCCAUAAGGCCCCUCAGCUUGCAUCUUUGACACGGACAUCUUAUCUCCGUCUCGUUCUUUUGAAGCAUCUCGGCCUUCAUGGAGCUCAAAAACCUAUUCACGAUGCCUUCGGUCAUCGUGCGGACCAUGGUCGCCUGCGGGGUAGAGCAAAACGAUAUUUUAGAACCAAAUUUUUUUUGGCAUGACUUUGCCUAAAAAUAGGAGCAAAAAGAAUGCAUAGUGCCAAAUUCUCGCCGAAACAGAAAUGAAUCAACAUUCCGGCAAAAUAUUGGCAACUAUCGCAUUUCAAAUACCGGUACCUGCAAACACAAACUUAUAUGCAACACCACGAACAUAUGCAACACCACAAACAUACGUAGAUCUAGCUAUGCCAUAAAAAGUGCAUGUGCACGCUGUUGGAGGGAGAAAAAAGUAGAUCUACAACAUAAAGAAAGUUUUCCCCUUACUUACGUAUAAAAAAAGGUAAUUUAACCACUUAAUUUGGGUGAAUCUAUGGCGCAAAUGAGGUGGGGAGGAGGAGGCAGCCGAGACAAGCUUGGAGGAGGAGGUGGAGAGAAUGAAGUGGGGAAAGUGAGUGUGGUAGGUGGUUGUCCAAAAUAUCUAGCUGGUCUCAGGUUACUAAUGGCGCACCACCUAAAAAUGCGCCAUUAGUAACCCUAGUUACUAAUGGCGCACAUGUUACGUGGUGCGCCAUUACUAGUUUUGCAAAAAAAAAUUGUUAUUAGUGGCGCACCGUGGAUGUGGUGCGCCAUUACUAGUUUGAACUAGUAAUGGCGCACCACAACCACGGUGCGCCAUUACUAGUUUUGAAAAAAAAGUAAAAAAAAAUGUUAGUAGUGGCGCACGGGGUGUGUGGUGCACCAUUACUAGUUAAAACUAGUAAUGGCGCACUCUGCCCUGGUGCGCCAUUACUAGUUUUGGAAAAAUAAAAAAAAGAAUUUGUUAGUAGUGGCGCACCGUGGGUGUGGUGCGCCAUUAGUGUGAUGGACACUAAUGGCGUACCAACACAUGGUCUGCUACUGCUAUAUAGCAGUGGCGCACCACAUAUGUGGUGCGCCAUUAAUGUCCAUAUUAUCUAUAGCCCUUUUCCUAGUAGUGUGGGGAAUACCAUUUACCAGAUAUGUGGCAGCCGAGAUAACAUAUGGGUGAUGAUUCGCACCAGGAGGUAUGGAUCAAUUGCAGCUUACAUUCAAGAGAUAGGAGAUCAUAUUUGUGGACAGGAGAAUUGAUAACCCACAAGUAUAGGGGAUCGCAACAGUUUUUGAGGGUAGAGUAUUCAACCCAAAUUUAUUGAUUCGACACAAGGGGAGCCAAAGAAUAUUCUCAAGUAUUAGCAGCUGAGUUGUCAAUUCAACCACACCUGGAAACUUAGUAUCUGCAGCAAGGUGUUUAGUACAAAAGUAAUAUGAUAGUGGUGGUAACAGUAACAAAAUUAAAGACGGCAAAAGUAAUGUUUUUGGUAUUUUGUAGUGAUUCUAACAGUAGCAACGAAAAAGUAAAUAAGCGAGAACCAUUAUAUGGAAAACUCGCAGGCACCGGAUUAAUGAUGGAUAAUUAUGCCGGAUGUGGUUCAUCAUGUAACAGUCAUAACAUAGGGUGACACAGAACUAGCUCCAGUUCAUCAAUGUAAUGUAGGCAUGUAUUCCGAAUAUAGUCAUACGUGCUUAUGGAAAAGAACUUGCAUGACAUCUUUUGUCCUACCCUCCCGUGGCAGCGGGGUCCUAUUGGAAACUAAGGGAUAUUAAGGCCUCCUUUUAAUAGAGAACUGAAACAAAGCAUUAGCACAUAGUGAAUACAUGAACUCCUCAAACUAUGGUCAUCACCGGGAGUGGUUUUGAUUAUUGUCACUUCGGGGUUGCCGGAUCGUAACACAUAGUAGGUGACUAUAGACUUGCAAGAUAGGAUCAAAAACUCACAUAUAUUCAUGAAAACAUAAUAAGUUCAGAUCUAAAAUCAUGGCACUCGGGCCCUAGUGACAAGCAUUAAGCAUAGCAAAGUCAUAGCAACAUCAAUCUUAGAACAUAGUGGAUACUAGGGAUCAAACCCUAACAAAACUAACUCGAUUACAUGAUAAAUCUCAUCCAACCCAUCACCGUCCAGCAAGCCUACGAUGGAAUUACUCACGCACGGCGGUGAGC